rnacentral:lncRNA from 1 species
CACAUAGCCUUAACUGUGAGGGAAGAGUUUGUUUCUAUAACUGGAACCUUUGACUAAACGCAUGGCAAGGCAACAACCUUACUAUUGUGCUAAAUCAAGUUUGAUCUAUACACCUGCUUGAAAAUUCAAUUGGGAGAUGAAAAUAAAAACUUACAUCACUGAAAAUGAUUUAUAGGUGUUUCUUUCAUAUCAACCUAUUUAAGUGAAAACCUACUGAAACCAUUCAACAUAUGAGACUGUGAGAGGUUAUUGAAUACAUUCGACACCACUCCUUUCUGUAUUUAACUUAUUAAAUGGGAAAUUAUUUCCUUUACCUUACCUAGAUCUAACCCAAAACAUUUCAGGUAAAUAUUCUGUGAGUAACUUGCAUCACAUAAAAGAAACCAAGAGACAUACCGCAACAGCUGGAGCUCUUCCAAGUCCAGCAGUGCAAUGUAUAUAUGUUACACCUCCAUUGGAAUUUAUUGCCUUGUAUAAUUUGCUAACUACAGCUGGAAGCCGCCUCCGUAGAUCAAAUGCAUCAAAGUCCCUGCUACAUCCAUGUUAGAUCAUCCUAUAAUGUGAAGAAGAACAUGACAAACAAAGCCAACAUAAUGUAAAAGGCAGAAUAUAUGAUCCCUGUUUAGUUACACGCCAUGAGUAAAUAGAAAUGCUAGUAAUUACACAAAAUGUACAACAUAUACAUAAAGCAGAAACAAUUAAAUUUUACAUGUAUGUACUAGGAAAUUAGGAAUUAUAAUAUAAAGGUGACAUUACCAACUAGUCUUAUGCAAAAAAACACAAAGAAUUACUUGAGUUUUUGGAUGAUUCACAACCUAAUGCCUAAAUCUUAAAAAUAUUCGCAACAAUUUCACAAACAUUCUCAGUUUUGAUUUGGGGGGUGGCAGGGAGUUAUGACUUAUGAAAAUAUCAAGCUAGUAUCUGUUUGAGCAGAGGAAAAAAGGAAAUGUAGAAUUUAGUUUACAUGUGAUAGGACAUUCAAAGAAAUGUAUCAUAAGAAUUCAUCACAAUUUUGUAGGUUUAUAUUAUCAAUAUCAACAACCAAACAAACUUUCAUCACCUUCAUAUUUGAUUGCAUAUUUACACAUACAGAAUUAGGAUAAAUAUUACUAACAAACUAACUUAAAAUGCAGACAGAAAACCAGGAUUUUAUUCCCAAAAAGCUCCCCAAUGUGAGUAGGACUACACAUUAUUGCCUCACUCAUAAAAAAUAGCAUUUAUUGCCAUAAAAAUGAGUAAGUAGAAUAUGACUUGAACCAUACCUGAAGACAUAUAACAGUACAUAAUUGUGAGGAAGUUACUAUAUGUGACACUAUACGUGGAUGAUCAAGAUUUAAUGUUUAAGUCUCCGUGAUAAGAUCUAAUGGUAAUGGUGCCUAAUAUUCAUUACUCUUAUUCUAACAAAAAAAAUGCUUUCUCAUUUGAUGUCUCCUAUAUAUGUGGUAACUUUUAAAUUGAUUUUUUGAUAUAUCCAUGAGUUGUAAGAAGUAAAUAUAUUUAGAAAAUAAAACAAAGUUACAUUUUCUUAUGCAGGAAUUAUUCUACCUAUAGUUUUAAAGAAGGAUUUCAUAGCAUAAGAAUUAUCCAUGAGGAUAUUAUUAAAAUAUUUAUAUAAUAUACUAUACCUCGCGAGGUUUUGUAUCACAUUAUCAAACACACCAUACCAAUUUAAUAUCACAGUAUUCAAAGCCUCCUUUAGUCCUUUCAUUGUUUUUACUCCUGCUAAAUUUAAACCCUAUAAUUUCUUUGACAGCUAUGAUAUAAAAAUGUCAUUACAUAACACAAACCUUAUCUCAGCACGCAAGUGUUGAAUGUCAUUGCAUGUCUUGGCAUAUUCUCGUAUGGCAUUAAUAUCAACUCCAAAAUAUCUAAGUAGUUGUAAAGAAACACAAUGGUUCACUAGCUAGAUUAAAUAUGAGGUAUUUCAUAUUUGUCUCAAAUACUGAAAGUGAAUCUUAUUAAAGAAACUGAUUAGGAUACUCAAGGUCUGAAUCUUGUUGUAAGCAAAAUAUAGUUUUCACUCCAAUUCUACGCAACUUGUCUACAUCUUCAGGAGUCUGGUAAUUUGAGGGAGAGAAAAAAAUAGAAGUCAGGACCAAACUAGAUUUGACAGAAUUCGAUCAGGUAUCCAUAAUUGAAUAAAAAAUACCUGUAGGCAUGAUCCCACAAUCAAGUCUGGACGGAUGAAAUUAUAGUUCAUUCCUAAUUCAUGCCUAUAAGUCAAAACUGUGAAGCACUUCGUUAGAAAGGGUUAACAACAUUAAUUAUUCAAAGAACAAAAAAAUAGGAUGAGCAAUUGAGUGAUCCUUUAGUUAAUCCAAACUAUUAGCUGAAUAUGAAUAAUUGAAUAUUACAAACCUAACAAUGUUAGAAUUGAUUGUAGCAAACAAAAUGAAGGUUUAUUCCCAUAAUUUGAAAUACUUCAUCACAGUUUACCCCCAAAAAGAAAUUACAAUUCACCAGAGAGCUUCAAGCUAAAGAUACUCUCAGUUUCCCCCAAAUUGUAUUCCAAGUUUUUUACUUAUCAACAGUAGAACCACAAAGUAGGAAAAGACCAACAAAAGUAGAUCAAAUGGAAGAUAGUCUAAUUCAAAGAGGCAAACAAACACCGAAAAAAAACUUAGGAGAAAGACAAACAAUUAAAAAGGCCUUGCUCUAACUGGACUUAUAUUGAAAUUUUGGUUUCUGUUAGGGCUUAAUGAUGUUUGAUCAAUGUUGCAACUCCAUCUAGCAGGAUUAGGCAACAUCAUUGUUGAACAAGAAGCAGAAAAAGAUUACCAGCACCCAUGGCUUCUGUCAUGUUAUGACUAUAUGUCUCAGACUUUUCUUCCUCCUUAUCGGCACUACUUGUGUCUGCACUUGGUAUAGAACCUGAGGCAGCCUGCAAAAGAAAAAUGUCAAUCAUAUUCUCUAGGAAACACAAGAAACACAAACAGCAGAAACCGAUAUAAUAUGUCCGCUUGCAUAGUCAAACCUAAGUAAGGAUUGAAAAUUUAACAAGCCAAGUGACAAAUGAUGCUCCUCUUUUUAGGUUUUAAUAACCUGUACUGCAAUAUCUCCUUGUUUUAUUUACAUUUAAUAUCGUUCAUGUGCCUGCACCAAAAUGACAAAUCGUACAACUUUCAAAUGACUACACCCACAUUGAUUCUGGUAGGUUCCCAAAUAUGCCAUGAAGAUUCCAUGAUUUCCACACAUAUUCACAGGUUGUCUAAUUAUUCCAGAAGCUCAUAGUGUAUUCCUCAGUCCUCGCAAAAACUGAUUCAGCUUUAAGACAAUCCAAAAACCAAUUCUAUAAUCGUAUUUAAGGGUUACUGACAUUAUGUAAAUUUUUUUAUUUAUCGACAAAUGUUAGUAUGUUAAAAUGUUAGUUUUUGUUGGCAGACGGAUCCAACCGGCGACUUUUCCUUCUUUCUUUCUCUCUUAAACAUCCAACCCACCUUAUAUUUCUGACAUCAUGUAAUACUCUAACAGCUUAUAAUAGAUUGAAAGGACGACAAAAACAAGAUUCUAGAAGCAACAAUACCAUCAUUAAGAUUGAAGAUAAAAGAAAAAAGAGUAUAGUUAUAGAUACCUUGAGGGCCAUAGUUGGAUAUUGACGAGAAUUGUUGACGAAACCCUGUAUGGAGAAUUGAAAAAAGAGGGUGUGAGAGAGAAAUAAGGAAGAAAAAAAGAAGGAAAAUGGAGUAUAGCAUACCAGGGAAAGGGGAAGGUUCUUGCGGUGGCGCGUAACAGGUGUUUCGAAGGGCAAAACAGAGAAUCUGGAAAAAGAAGGAAUCUGAUUCUCAUUCGAUUCGAUUUGGAUUAUAGAAAUAAAGAGAUGGAAUGGAGAAAGGAAGAAGGAUUAACAAACAAACCGAGAAAGAUUCCGAAGACAGUUCAUUUUUGAGUUCAGUGACAGUCCCUGCAGCACUGCACUGGGUUGGGCUUGAUAUUUAUUUCUUCUUGAUGGGAUUUUAUUAUUUAUUUGUAUUUGUAAAGAGUCAAAUCAAAAGCAGAAAAAAAGGCAAGACCCUUUUUCUCUCUCUAUCGUGUUGGAUCACGAGUGGAGUUCCAGAGCUCACACCCAUGCCAAAACUUGCGUUUCUUUCUGAGCUGCUAUUAUCAUAUUCUAUUUGUGGGUCCAUUUCUAUUCACCUCCGUUGGCUCAAAAGGGCAUUCAUUUCUUGCUGAAUUAGAAUUAAUCAUUUUGAACUUUUAGUUUGAUGAAUCUCGUGAUUUUAAAAUUUGAUGAUUUUAAUUCAUUCGUCAUAUUUUUUUUUGUUGAUUAUUACUUUAUAAACGUUGAUUAGUUAAUCACUAAUGUGAUACACUUAUAUUUUGUUAUUAAUAAUUAACUGUGAUUAAUAAAAUUAUUAAAUUGGAUAAAAAUCAAACCUUCAACACUCCUCCAGUGUCAUCAACAAACCUUGACGUUCUUGGAUGUUUCACGUGGAUUUGUGAUGAGGUGUUGAUCGGAUUCUUCACUCUAGGACAAAAAAGAGUUCAAGCAAAUCUGGGUUGGGAGACACGUAGAUCUGGGACAAGAGGGUUCAUGUGUUUACUGUAAGACAUUUAUUUAGUUUGAGCUAUGCACAUGUAUGACGUUAAUACAUGAAAUACUGCAUUUUUUUUUCAAAUUAAAAUUCAUAAUAAUGAUGAUUUUUUAUUGGUUGAAAAUAUUUUUUUAUAUCAACAAUACAUAAUCAUUAAAUUAAAAAAAAACUUGUCACAUUUGCUUUUCAAAUUAAAAUUGUUUUUUUUUUGCACUAUUCCAAUUUUCAUCCUUCAUCAUAAAUAAUUUAAUUAUAUUUUUAGUUCUUAUAAUUGAAUAUUUUUUUUAUUUUUAUAUCUUACAUAUUUAUUUUAUUUUUAAUCUUUAAAGUACUUUAAAUAAUCAAUAAUGAUUAACAAGUGACUCUUAAUCAAGUAAUUCAAAAUUCAAAAUCUUGACUAAUCUUUAAAUAUAAAAUAAAUCAUGUUAAAAAAAAUAUAUUCAUUUGUCCAUAGAUAUAAAUGUAAUAACAUCAUAGAAAUGAGAAGACACAUUUUCUUAAUCUUGUAACUUUUUUUUUAUGAGUGGAAAAGUAGAGAAGAGAGACGACAAAACCAAUACUAGGACCUCACUUAAGAGUGUCUCGUAAAAUCAGCAAAACAAUCAGAGAAAAGAGAAGUUGGACAUUGAUGCAAGAUAGUCAAAUCUUGCUGGGAACUUGAUUCAAAGGUUCCCCCCCUUUUUUUUCUCUAACCAAAGGCAUAAAACAAAUAUAAGAGGUUAUUAUCAUUAUCAUUAAAACAAGAAACAAAAUAAGAAAAAAAGGAAAGAUAUCCACAGGCGUGCCUCUUCAAGGGAUCCCAUCACAUAGCUACAAAGCAGCCUUGCGUGUAACUUGUAAAUUUAAGGAAGCUAUUUGAUUAUUCCUAAAGUUUCUAUUAAAAUUACAUAUCAAUAAGGCCUUUAGGUUCAUAAUUUUCACCCCACAAAAAUAGAAGUAAAUGCUUGUAAUAGUGCCUAACUCUAUAAGGGCUUAAAUAAAUGUUGAUACCAGUAAUAAAAAAAAUAAAAAUAAAUGUUGAUACCAGUUACAGCUUCCAAAACAGCACUGAAGACUAAAAUCAAGAACGUCUGUGUGAUCACAUAUCUACUGGCCCCCAAAUAUUUUGAUCAUCAUAAGACUGGGGAUCUUUUAACACAGGUUUAAACCUUGGUCUUGCUGGUUGGUCUUUGCCCAUGGGAAAGUUCCAGAAUGAAUCAGAGUUCUCAAAGAAUAUGUAAAAUGCAACAGCUGAUGCUAAAAAUAGUCCCAAUAGCACCAAAUAGAUCUGCCAUUCUGCAGGUUUGAAAGGAUAUUGAAAAUGUCAAAUUGAAUAGACAUUAUUGCACGGCGUUAGGAUGAAUAAGGGAUGCAUGCAUGCGUGAGAGAGAGAGAGAACCUUUCCAAUCUUUAGGUACAGUCAGCUUAGUGACCAGCGCUCCCCAUUCUACUGAGGUUGUAAGUACAACCCUGAACAAGAAAAGACCAUAUGAGUAGGCAAGACCAAAAUAAUAGAUUUAUUAACUGAAUGUAUUUAUUUUUUUAAGUGUGAAAUUACUGUCUAUGAUUAAGAAUCAGAAUCCAAUACUAAAAGCCAAUCUGCAGAGGCAUGUUAGAUAUAAUUUAUUAAAAAAAAAACAACUUAAAUUCCUUUAUAAACGGCUUAAGCUUUCAUCAGGUCAGCUUGGUUCUCUAGCACCAAGGUUCAAAUUCAAAAAUCCAUAUUUACUCUGGCUAAUGAUCUGAUGAGAAAAAAUCCAUUGCUAACUCCAAGGUUUGUACCCAAUGCAUGUUCCAAUAUUCAAAUGAAUAGCUUAAUCCCAACUUUGUGCUCAAUAUUCAAAAAGAAGGAGGUUUCAGCAGUUUACUAAAACUCUACAUAAGUUUAUAUUUAUCAGAGGUGCCAAAUUAAACCAAUAGAGCAUAGAAAUUACCUUUCCCCGGGACAGAACUCAAGCGAUGCAAUAUUUGUACCCAGGUGCAGUCUCUUGCUAUAAUGGUAUAUCUGCAUUUUCUUUACUUCAACUACACAUAUGUCUCCAUCUUUACUGCCCCUGAAAUUACAGAAGUAUGAUGAGCUGAAAAAAUGCUGGAGACAUAUUAUUAUCAUAGAUUGUAAUGUGAUAUACAAGUGAAGUGUAAAUCACAUCACAAACUUACAGGCCUUCAAAUGUUUUAAUCAAAAUAUUUUAGUAAUUUUUUUGGUGAAUAUACUAUAGUAAUUUUAUAGAGGAUGUACCCCACAACAACAUAUUUAAACAUUUUUUUAUAGUUAUAAAACAAGCAAUCACUUACUCUUCUUUUAACAGCUAAGCCCACCAGCCACAUCCCAAAAAAAAAAAAAAAAGACUAAGGGUCUGUUUGAUUUGUUAAAAAUUAUAGUAUUGGCAGGACAAAUAUUUUUGUUUCAUGUUUGAUUUGAAAAAGGAUUAAGGGCCAACACAAAUCAAGCAGAUGAGAACAGAACAACAUCUCUAAUUUUUGUUACUCAGAAAGCCAUGGGAAACUUUUUGUCCCAGAUACAAAAUAUUAAAAAGACACAUAUAUCCUUAUUUUUAUCUCUUUAAUAACUGAAAAGAUAGUAACUAAACCAACAUAAACAUUGAAAAAAGGAAACACCAUAUUUUUUUUGUUCUAAUCUCUCUCUUUCUUUAUUUUGAUAAACACAUUAAAUUUGAUAUAAUUGUUUUAAGAUAAUUAAUAUUAGGUAUUUUAGGAAACUUUAUAUUAUUAUAUUUGUGUUGUCCAUUAUUCGUCAAAUGAAGUACAAGAUAAGAAAUUGUCUAUUAACUUAUAUCUUUGUCCUGUGUUGUUCUUUUUGUCCUGUUCAGUAUCAUAUUUUUAACAAAUCAAACAACCCUAAGGCAUUGAUCCUAGUGGCAAGCUACAAUUGAAAAAAACAUAAUAAGAUAUGUCAUUUUAGUUCAUGCUGUUUCCAAGGAAAUGAAUUACAGUCGUCAGUUUUGAAAAGACUAUUAGGAUUCUAAAAGGAAAUAGGAUCAAGCUAAUAGACAAAAAUGAGUUUUAUGUGCACUCUGCAGUCAACUUUUCAACAGCUUUUUAUGCAUUAAAUUGGAGAUACAGUAAACACACAAAAUAAAGAACUCUGCAGUUAUGCAGAAGAAAAUGAUUAUUAGGUAGUCUAUCACCCAGAUGACUUGUGGGUGCAGAGGUCAAAAAAUGAUUCAUAAGAAGACACUCAAAGAAGGAAUUAGAGCUACAUUAACAUAAAUGCAGUGCUGUAGAUCAGAAAGAGACAAAGUAAUAAGAUGGAAAAACAUGAUCAAUUCUAACAUUGUUUUCUUCAUUCCUUCACAGUUUUAAGGAGAUGGCCAAAAUCACAUUCCCACUUUGGUACCCAAAUGAUUUAAAUACACUAAUAUAGACACGGUGUUCUAUAACAAUUAAGAAAGUGAAUGGCUUUAUUACAUAAGGAGGACUCUACACGGAAAUCUGAAAUUCAAAGUAAGAGUAAAAUUCAAUUUUCAAAAAAACUUCAUUAAACUUUUUUGUACUUAGGUAUUCAUUGAAGAAUGCAAUUUCAGCUCUUUUCAAUCUCUUCCACUCUUCUAUUGAAGUUUUAGUUUUGAUUAUGAUUGGGAGGUUUGUUUACCCUGGUCAACAUUUUUAGAUUGGGAUAUUAAAUUCCUACAUUAGAUAAAUGCAUGGGGCAGGGGGAUACAAGCAUUCCUUCUAGCAUGCAGACUGCUGAGUAUAACAGAGGGAAUUGAGUAGAAAUUUUAUUGGCCCAAACAAAAGAAAUAAAAAUUCUAAAUCAUUUACUUGCUAAAGAUGUAAGAUGUGAAAUAGUCACAGAAAACUAUCUAGAUAAAUUUUGGAAAUCAAAACUGACAAAAAAUAAAGGUAGAAUGUUGACCAAUGACCACACAUAAGCCAAAAAGUCCAAAGAUAACUGUAGGUUCUUACAGAGAAAGGUAUUUCCCAUCAUUGCUAAUUGACAUUACUGAAGCAGACUUUCUAAUCAGCCUCUUAUGCCCAAUUUUAUUCCAUGUGCUAAUAUCAUAAACCGCAGUGACAGAAGUAUCACCUGCUCAAAGAUAGAAGUAUCUAUAAUAAAGGCCAUGCUUUGCUGGUCAAAGAGAUUUGGAGAAUAUACAAAUUAAUACUAUAAAAUAUACUAGAAACAAGAUAAUCAUAUACCUUUUUGAACAGAGCAAAAUAAAAAUGGUUUGGUUCCGUCCUUGGAAAAUCGACAUAAUUCAAUCUUUUCAUCCUAAAGAGACAAAAGGAAAUAUUUGGAUUAAGCGAUACAAGUAACUGCAUACAGAUCUUGCCACAGGUUCUUAAAUCAAAUGCACCAUACCGAGUUGCGAGACAAAGUAUUCAAAGGAACACCAUCUUCAGUCUUCCAGAUUCUUGCUGAACCAUCAGUAGAAGUUGAAGCUAGAAAUUCUGAAUCUAGACUGAAGUAUGGAAAAAAUAUGAAGGACAAUAUAGUAAGUAUCAAUAUCAUCAAAGUUUCAGGAUUAAGAUAUUUACAAUGUGACAUACUUUUAUUUUCUAAGAGAUCAUAUCCAUACGGUCACGUUAUUGCAGGCAUGAACAUGCGAAGCAAAAUUAUCUUAUCUGGUGGUAAAAACUCCAAAUAAGAUUACAAUAGUUACCGGCUUUAUCAACUAUUUAUUACAAUUUUACUAGCUGUAUGGACUAAUGCAUCCUUUAGCAGGAUUCAAAUAGAUUUGUUUACUAUACCAACCUAAAAUCCAUAUCCUGAACUGAAUUGUGUGCUCUAGGUUCAUCCAAAAUCACACGCAUACUAGGCCACUCCAUGAUUCUGAGAUGUCCAUCCUACACUUGUCAAAGACAGAAGUCAAACAUACGAGAUCAAACUUGAAAAGGAAAAACUCAAAGUGCUGACUAGAAAAUAAAAGCGAUUGGUUGGAUUCUAAAUUGAUGCUUACCAUUCCGCCAGCAGCAAAUUUAGACCCAUCAACACUAAAAGAAAUACAUUUCUGAGGACCAAUACCCUGUAGAGGAGCCAGUUCCUUAGCCAACAACUUCAUGUUUGUUUCACGACCAUACAGCUCAAACAAUCUACAAGCCAUGGGGAAAUACUUCAAUCUAUAUAUGUUCAGUUCAGUAUAAAUUAGAAUUAAGAACCAUGGGAGGAUAUCAUGUCCAGGACUAGACAUCCAGAGGCUAGAGCAUGAAGUUUGUAGGCUGCACCAGACAUGUGCAGGUGGUCAAACAUCAGGACCGUAUACGCUUUGAUAUCAUAUAGAAUUGAGAAAGAAAUAAGUCUAACUCUACCUCAAAAGUUAAUGCCAAGGUCAUUAUAAAAGUGUACUUCGGCCAUAAACCUAACUGAUGGAGGAUCUUAACACAGUAUCCAAGGAUGGCACAAAUCAUACUAUGAAAAUAACUCAAGGAAAAAUUCAUCUAUCUAUACUUAAGAAACAACAAUAACUAUUGUGUCAAACACUCCCUAGUUCCUAGGGGAAAAAAAGGAACAAGAAACUGUCAGAAAUAAAUUUGGUAAAACUGAGCCUACAGUUUUAUCUUGUACUUUGAAUAUUUAAAGGACGAUAAAAUGUUGGAGUCUGGUUCUUAGAUUAUUGAAAGUGGCAGUAACUGCUAAUUUUAUAAAUGCAAGUUGAGACACGUCAUAGAAGUAUUCAAAUGGAUGAAUACAUAUAGAAGAAUGUUUCAAUCCCGAAACCCUUACAAAAGAAACUUACUUGCAGCUACCAUUGCUGAGAGCGCACACAAAAUCAUCCCCACUUGGGUGAACUGUAAUGGCAACAGGAUCACCUUCCUCUGCUUCCAACACAUAAGUGGUCUGAAAUAUCAAAACAAAAACAUCGUUAAAGCCGAAACUGAAGCCCAUCCAUACUUUGCUUCCAUUCAGCAACCCAGAAACUCAACACUAAAAACACUUUUCAACAACAGAAUUUGUUCAUAAUAUCUACUUCCACCAACCAUCUGCUUCAGAGAGGAAAAAGUAAACAGUUUCUCAGCCAAAAACCAAAAAGUAUAUGCACAAAAAGGCUCAUGCUUUUUCAAAUGACUCACUCCACAGAAUCUACAUGCUCAGACAUAUUCUAUUUCAGCUUAAAACCAAUUGAGACUAAUUAAAGUAGUCCAAUAGAUAUAUAAGCCACACCCCAAGAAAGACAUACACAAACAUAACACAUAAAGAACAAAAACAGUUUUUCAACUUACAAUAAAAAGGGCCUGCAUAAAACAAAUUAUGUUUCAAAUGGGUCACUCUAUACAUAAUAUAGCAUAAAUUACACACGCACAUGCAAACAUAACACAAAACACACACACACACACAUAAUAUGUGUAUGGAUAUUCAGAGUUUUAGAGAAAUACCAGAGGAGAGGUAGACAAAGAAGUGGUUUUGGGAUCGAAGGAGAAAAUCUCUAAGAGAGAAGGACAAGAACUGCCACGUCUGGACCUUCCCAACACCACCAAAUUCAAAUUCUCGGGCCUCCGAAUCCACGACCCACACGUAACCGGACCCUGCGGUGACCCUGCAUCAUUCCCCAUCGAAAGAGUUCGAAAAUUGGAUACCCAGAUCGCAAGUUCACUUCUUUUUUCCAAUUGGAGUGCAACAAAUGGAGCUCUUCGGAGAUCGCUGAAUUGGAUUCUUCGGCAAAUUUUAAAUAGAAAUGUCAGAGACGAAAAUGAGAGCAUCUGAAUAAAAAUAAAAGUCAAAAGAAGAUAGAAAGAGCUUUUGCCUUGUUUUAUUUAAUCGUUAAUUGAUUAAUCAAUGAAACAAGGCACAGCCUUAUUAAUUAAUGUCACGCCUUCGAAAAAGACAUGUCUCACCUUUUUUUACGUGAUAUUGUGUUUUAAAAUUGCUGAGUAUAUGAAUGCAUGUAUGUUCACAGGGUUUUAUGAGGAUGAUGCAACUUUUGCUUAAACGCAAUGUGAAAAUAUGUUUAGGGGAAUUUAUAUAUUAAAAAGAUGAAAGUUGUUUAAUUUUCAGGGUUGAAAAAAUUGAAGCGAUUAGUUUAAUGAAGGGAGAGAUGGGUCCGUUAAUGCAACAAUGAUGGAAGAAACAAAACAUAUUGUCAACUAUGGAGAUAUUCGCUUAAGAUUCCGCGAUGUGGUUGCUGUUUGCCGUAUGCUGACAAUAAAACAAGUUGGUGUUCCCAAUCCCAUAAACAAUGUUGGAUUAGAUUUGGAAACCAAGUCGAGCCUGAUUUUUUUUCUUUCUGAUAUAUAAUAUAAAGUGGUUUACAUUGUUUUGGGUAUAUGCAAAGGAUUAUUUUACAAGUAAAUGUAUCAUGAUAAAAUUCUUUACCGAUGUGGAAAUAUGAGUUUGUGAUAAUUAUAUUAACAUUAUAAUUAGAAUUAGAAUUAUUUAGAAUACAAUCACACAACACAAGUGUUCCUCUAAAACAGAGGAGUUGGUGCAGCAAAAACAAGUUUAGGGUAUGAAAUCAAAAGUCAUGAAUCUCACUUGCGAAUGGUAGAGAGCAACAACCCUGAAGACGACAAAGGGACGCACCAGCACGACAAUGGUAGUCAGAGAAAGUAUAGAGAAGGUUUAUAAGUGAAAUUGGAAGAUGGGGUUUUGUAUUUCUAGUUUUCUGAUCGAGUCACACGUUGUUGUGGAUGUUAGAUUAGAUGGACGAGUUUAUCUCUACUUAGUACUUAAUCUGAAUUUUGGUAAACAAUAAAUUCUCAUCUUUUACAAAAUGAUCACAUAGGAUAAAUUUAUAAAAUUUUAUAAAAUUUGGUUUUAAAAUUAUACUAAAAAUGACUUCUAAUUAAUUAAGGGUGAAUUAUUUUGUUAGAAAUUAGGCUUUUCACAUUGAAAGGUUAAAAAAUACAUUAAUAAAAUACCUUUAAAGUACCUUUCUUUUAAUUAUUCAUGAUAUUUAUUAUAAUCUUAAGCAUCAAUUAACACAUUAGACUUUCAGCUAAACCAUCAAAUUUAAGUCUGGAGUAUUUAAUAAGGAUAAAUACUCAAAAGUGAGGAGUAAUUUAUUGUGUCAUAAUAAAUUUUACUAGUAUUGUUUCUAAUAAAAAAUAAAUGUGAUUUGUAUAAAAAAAAUAUUAAUAUUGAUUUUAUUUAGAGAAAAAGGUUAUAUAUUGACAUUAUAAAUAAUUUUACACAAUAAUGUAAUUAAAAUUUAUUAUAUAUGAUAAAUUUAUUAACUUUUAUAAUAAUUUAAAAGAUAAUUUAUAAUUAAAUAUUUUAUACCAUAUGGACAUGGACAUUAAACUUUUUAAUUUAUACUAAUAAUAAAUAAUAUCAGCACAAGGUAAAUUUACAUGCACGAAGAGAUGGACUGAUUUAUAUUGGUACAAAUCAAGUUCAUUCUUAUUUGAAUUUAGUUAAAUAUAUUAAUGGUGUUACAUUAAUUUAAUUGCAUAUUAUCAUAUUUUGGUAUUUUUUUUAAAACUUUUUAUAUAAUGUAAUGCAUGAAAAAUAAACUUUUCUUGUAUAUUAUCAAUAAAUUUAUAAAAAUGUUUUUUUAUUAAUCUUAUUGCGAAGUCAUAAUUAUAUAUUAUCUUAUUUUUUGUCAAAUAGUAUAAAAUUAAACAAUAAGAAGAAGAUUAUUGAAUCAUUCUUAUUUUCAUAUAUUUAAAAACAUACCUCACAUUAAAUUUAAUAUAUAUAUUUCCCCAAUAUUAUUAUAAUUGUUAUACUAAUUUUUUACAAAAACUUAUAAAUAAACAAAAUAAUAAUAAUUUUACAAAAUUAAUUUUAUAAUCAUAAUUUUUGUUAUAUGUAUCGUUAAUAUUAUAAGAGAUAUGAAAAUUAAUAAUUAAUAUUACAUUAAAGAGUUAAAUAAUUUGGGAUAAUUUUUUUUCUUUUUGCACAAUGAUUAAUAAUUAUUAUGAAACGGGGAGAAUAAAAUAUAAUUAAUAAAUUAUGAAAUAGAUUUUUACUUGCCAUAUGUUCUGUGUUUGCAAAUUAGACUUGAAGUAUAGUUUUAACAAGGGAUUAAAUUAAUCAAUUAAGUGAAAACUAUUACAUAGAUAUAUGAAAUAUUGAGGUAAGUCCCAAGUUAUCAUAUUACGGACCAAAAUGAGAAAAACCGGAUAACUUAAAAUGAUUAAAAUGACAGUGAAAUGUAGAAACUAAAAUGAUUAUUUACUUUUGAUUAGUUUCAAAUAAUAUGUACUUUUUUCACGACUUUAAUCAUUAUUAAUUAAGUAAAAUUAUAUUUUUAGUUCCCUAAUUUUCAAUUUUGAUUUUAGUUUUUUAAAUUUAUUCCUAAAUUAAAGAUUGGAUGCGGCGUUUUUUUUUGGUAAUUAACGGUUCAAAUCUAGGUUUCAGAAUUACAUUUAUAGAAAAUAAAGAGGAACUAAAUUCAUAAAUAAAUUAAAAAAAAUAAAUAAGAGGAUAAAAAAUAUAAUUUUACCUAUUUAUUAUUAAUAUUAAUUUUUCAUUGUCAGCCAUUAAAAAUUACUAUUAAUAUAAUUUUUUAAAUAAUUAUUUAAAAUUUUAAUAAAUUUAUCUCAGAAAAUGAUCUAUCAUUGGAUUACAAUUCGAGAAUAAAACUUAUUUUUGUUAUUAGGAUGACUUAAUAAAAUAAUGAUUAAAAAAUAAAAUAUAUUUUUCUUCCCAUAAAUAUCACCAAACUAAACUUUAUCACCCAUACCAAAAGAGAUUAGUCCAAAAAAAUAAUCCAUGAAAUUUUGGCAUAAAUAAUUAAUAGAAAUUAGGUGGUAGUAUACACAUGCGAGCAGCGAGGUCAAAAUCGUUUAAAACCCUUAAACCCUGCGACGCCGUUUCUCGUCAUCUCUCUCUCCGGUGCUCCGUUGUCCGACGAGACCGAAGCCGUGUCUCGUGAGCAGAUGGGUGAGAUUAAAGAGAACGUUCCUCUUCCGAAGACCAAGCCUUCCACUGAACAGGUACUUCAGCAACGACUUUUAUGGACCCUAACGUAACUCAUGAAUGCUUCAUUCAACUUGUGUUUUUUGUUCCUAUACUAAGCAUUGAUCAAUUGGUAGUUCUGAGUAUUUUUGCAUUUUUUUUUAAAUAAACGAAUACAGACGCAAAAGGUAGGCAUGUUUUGGAUCUGGUUGAAUUUAUUUAUUACACUUUUGAACUCACAAUUCAUAUUGAGGAAUUGUCGUAAUUGUGUCUUAAUAUUCUAGUAUAAUCUUAUUACUCUGUUAAACAUUGAGCAUGCUGAAUGUUUGGUAUCUCUGCAUUGAUUCACUAUAUUGCUUUGCAGGACGUUACGGAUGAGCUAGACCUGAGAAUGAAGAAGUAUCUUAGAGGAGAAGGUGCUAAUUUGGAGGUAUAAGACAAUGAGGUUACUGGAAUUGAGACAUCAGUACUUGAUAAUGGAAUCUCUUAAUCUUAAUUUGUAAAUUAUUAUUUGCAGGGUUUGAAGGAUAAAAAGCUGAAGGGUCAACUAGCUGCUAAGGAAGACUUAUAUGGAAAAUCUGCUAAAGCUGCUGCUAAGGCUGAGAAGGUUAAUUAUUGAAUUUAUCUUUUAUAUUAUUUGAUUUUACGUAUCAUAUAUAAGUGGGUUAUUCUGAAGGUUGUUCAUGGGUUUGGAUGAAAUAUAAGCCCUGUGCAAAAUAUUGAUGUGGUAUGUUUGAUUGCAUAAUUCAUUUAGAGCUAUGGUUUGUAAUUGGAUUUUUCAUUGACUGGCCCGAUUUGAUGCAUAAACCCUGUUUGAGUGUUUUGCUUCAUGGUGGGUCAUUCUUGAGCCUAGCCAAGUCUAAUAUUUACUGGCAUAGGUUUUACAUGAUUAAUGAAUUAGUUGAAGCUUAAUCUCAAAAUUCGGUGUGAAGAGAAGUUAAUUAAACCUGAUUUGUAUGCAACAUUUAUGCAAUUAGUUAAUUAGGAUGUUAGGUUGUUGUCAACAUUGUAGCUCAAAUGGCAUUCCUACCCUUAAUCAAGCCUUGUAUGUUAAGAAAAGUAGAAAUUCAAUUAUGCAGUGGCUUAUGCCUAGUGAAGGAGGUUAUUUGGAGGCUGAAGGCUUGGAGAAGACAUGGAGGAUCAAACAGGAGGCAAUAGCUCACGAAGUAGAUAUCUCAAGCUCAAGGAAACAAUAUGAUAUUAUUUUACCAGGUACUAUUAAUGGAUUGUUUGUUAUUAGUAUCUUAGGUUAGGUCGGACUUGUAUUUCUUUUGUAACUUGUAAUGUUAGUAAUUAAUUUUUCAUUUUGACCUUUUCAAUAUUUUGGUAUUGUUGCUUCAAUCAAUUUUUUUCACUAGUACAUCAUGUAAAUUGAAAUUUCUUGACGUUCUUUUUUUAGAGAGGUUUUGUAUUGUUGGAAAAAGCCACCUAAAUUGUGGUCACCCCUAGAUAGAGGGUGUGUGUUGAAAGUCCCACAUGGCGAGUAGCUGUGAGUAAAAGGGGACAUGUUGAAGUUUCACAUCGACUAAAAAUAGUGUCAAGAUAAACUAUAUAAGUGAGGAGCAAUUCUCGCUUUACAAGCCGGUUUUGUAGGAUUGAAUUAAGCACAAACCCACUUUUUGACAUGGUAUCAAAGCCUAUCCUAGAUGGAUCCCUAUGUUUGUCACGCUCUAGGCAGGUAACCUUGAGCGUGAGGGGAGAUGUUGGAAAGAGUUGGAAAGAGUCACCUAAAUUGUGGUCACACUUAGAUAGAGAGAGUGUGUUGAAAGUCCCACAUGGCAGGUAGCAGUGACCAAAAUGAGGCAUGUUGAAGUCCUACAUCGAAUACAGAUAGUGUCGGGAUAAAUUAUAUAAGUGGGGAGCAAUCCUCAUCCUACAAGUCAGUUUUGUAGGGUUGAGUUAGGCCCAAAUCCACUUUUUGACAAGUAUUAAGGAUAAGGGGAAAUCGAAUUAGAGUUUAUUUCCUUAAUUUUCAUCAUCGCUUGUUGAUGGCAUACAGCAAUUGCAUAUAUGGUCUUUUCUGGAUCUGUGGUUGAGCUAGGAUACUAUCUAUGCUGUUUGGUUGUCAAGAAUGUGAGAUCUUAUGAUAUAAUAUCAUAAAGUUUGUGUAUUUGUAUAGAAGUAGCCAUGCAUUGGGCUUGAAUUUGCCUCUGGAGUGUUUACUGUUUGUGCAUGUGAAGGGGUAGAUUUCUGGACUCUGAUUUAUUUUAAUGUUCUCUUGGAAUUUUAUCUAUUUAUGAGUCAUAAAGCAUUUAUUUAUGGGUGGCAAGAAGCAUGUAUUAUACCACCCAUAGUUAGUCUUGAUCUAGUGAAUAUUGAACACUGAUUAUUGCCUGUAAGUUAUUUUAUGGGUAUAUUUUACAUAUAGUUCAAUAACAUUAUGAAUUGUUAGGGCAUCAUAUGUGAAGCAUGAUGUAUGUAUGUAGUUUAUUUCUUUUGUUCUUGCAUUAUGGAAAAUCCAAGUUCCUUGGUUGUGAAGCCCAACCAUUGUGCUAGGCCAGAUAGAACUUUUACAGUCAAUUCAAGUGCAUAUGAAUUUUAAAGCAAACAAGUUCAGUAACUUAAAUCCUGACUCCUAUUACUGAUAAGCCCUCAUAUAAGAGAUUUCUACUCCCUAAUUGUAUUGCAUUUUAUAUUAAAUAGACAAUGACUUUAGUUUCAGUACAAGUUAUUGAAGCAGUAUACUGUAUAAUUAAUAGAGUUACAGAGAAGUUUAUGCUUACUUGAUAAGUUUUUGUUUUAAUUCUAUCACAAUACAAAUUAUGUUUCUUUCUUUUGGCCUUGUCCAUGUAACAGCUUUGCACAACUUUGAUUUGUAUCUCGUUUAAUCUAUUAUACUUUAUUCUGCAAUAUAAUGAUGCAUAGUUAGUUGCACACUGGAAGCAAUUUUAUUGUUUUCUUGAUCUUCCAUUUAUUGCAUCUCUUUACAAUCCAUAUCUGCAGAACUUGGUCCGUACACUCUGGAUUUUACUUCAAGUGGCCGGUAUAUGGCUGUGAGUGGUCGUAAGGGCCAUCUGGGAAUUGUGGACAUGAUAAAUCUGAGCAUAAUUAGAGAGUUUCAGGUAUGCUCAGUCCUAGUUGAGCUCACUAUGUGGGGUUUUACUUUUACUAACUAAUAAAUUGUUAAUAUUUUUUUUGUUUCAGUCUUUCAGAACAUUGUUUGUUUUUUCUCUCUCUAGGGUGAUGUUCAUCAUGGCAUCAUUUAGUGCUGAUAUUGACUACAUAUUUUGAAGCAUUGUCUUUACUUGUCUGAAUAAAACAUUAAGGAUGCAUUUGUCUUAGCUUUGAAAAAGUGAUUUUAUGAUAGUAAUUUUUUAGAACCUAUUGUUUUUAUUUAGUUACUGAAAAAACACUAAAACAACAUUUUUUAUGACAUUUUCCCUUUUUUUAAUAUCUAAUUACUAUAAAAAUUUUAAACAUGUUUUUAAAUUGUUAUUUUUCUUUUAAAAAUGACCCUAAGUUCAUGGUAGCAAGGAAAUGGUUACAAUUGACCAUAUAUUUUAUGAAUUUAUUGAGUUUUUCAGAAAACUGUUUUUGAUUUUUUCAGGUAAGGGAAACAGUGCGUGAUGUCGCAUUUUUGCAUAAUGAGCUCUUUUUUGCUGCUGCCCAGAAAAAGUAAUUUCUCUUCCAGUCUUUAUUUGGUAUUUAACUGUUUACUCUAAGCUUUUGUUCCUUGCUGUUCCAAUGAAAGCACCUCUAAAAUUUGAAUAGUUUUUUUUUUCUGCGGGGGGUAUGUUGGGAAGUUUUAAAAAAAAAGUGAAAUGAUAAACUUUAACAAACAAAAAAAUGGGGCAGGGGACCUCAAUUUGUAUGAUGCACCCUACCUGCACCUGGUAUUCAAACUUGCUGACAUUUACUAAUUACAUUUGACUUUGAAAAAAUAGCAUAGUUUACAACAUCAAUGCAUCAUUUUUAUAGUUUUUCGUGUCUUAUAGUUAAUGUUGGCAUGCUUUUAGGAUUAAUUUUUUUCCCCUUGAAGGUCAAAUGAAGUUUAAACUCAACCUUAAAAAAAAGAAAGUUUAAACUCAUAAGUUUCUUUUUGCAAAUGCUUUUGUUUUUUUCUUAUAUAAUUCCAUGUUCUUCCUGGUUAUUUCUUCAAAAUGAAAUAUCAGACUUAUGCGCUUUACAUAAACCUUUUAAGAUUUUUACUUUUCUCUAUCUCAUUUUUUGUGGUAGCAUGAUGAGCUUAAGACAUACUGUGUGGUUCAUGUAUAUGACUAGAAUAUUCAAAUUUGACAGGUACCCAUACAUCUAUAAUCGAGAAGGCACAGAACUUCACUGCCUCAAGGUUGGUAUAUUGCCUUUGUUAUUAUUUUUUUUUUUUUUUGAGUUUGAGCUAUGCAUGUAUUAUCAUCGUCUAGAAUGUUUCUGCAUAUACUGAUGCCUGAUGAGCACAUGUUUGUCUUUGGGGCUUGUACCAUUCAUUUUGGUAUGCUUAACUUUUAAAUAUCAUAUUUAGUUGAUUUUUUUUUUCCUAUUGUCAUUCAUCUGAGUGUUCAUUAAAAUCUUUUAGUACCUAGAAAUCUGAUUAUGACGUGUGGAUCCAAUACCUACUAGAGUACUAGUGCUGCUUCAGAUUGCAAUUAAUCCUAAUUUGAGCACUGUUAGGAGAAAGGGAAGGGGAAACUAGUUAGGAUAUUAAUUAGUUGGUUAGUUAGAGGUUAGUGACAUAAAUAGGAGGAUUCAAGGGAAAAGAUUUGUUCUGUCCUGUAUCAUUUUGUAGAUUGAGCACUUGCUCUUUGUGAAAGGAAAAAUACUUUUUGAAGAGGAAACUUCUGGAGAGAUCUCUCCUUUGUUUUGUUCUUUUGCAACCAAUCAAGAAAUACAAUAUCUCCUUUCUAAUUCGAGUUCCUAAAAGGCGCCCCUUCAUUUAUUCAGUUAGGUUGGUUAAUUCAUGCUGAAUAUAGGCUUUGAGGCACCACUAGUGGAACUUAAUGAGGGCAUAUAUAGAGAGAGAAUGUGCCAAGUGAGAACUCGUUUUUGUGAUUUGUGAGAAAUGAGAACUAUAAUUUAGGCCAUUAAAUCGUAUUUGAAUGAUCAAGAUUAAAAGAUAAAUGCACAAACCUUUUAGGCAGUCAUGUGAUCACUAAUUAACUUAUGAUCACCAUCCAUAUAUGGUUGUAUGACCCAUAUUUAUAGUCUUCAAUCCUCACAAUAAUCAAGAGUUCUCACUUGAUGCACCUCCUUAUGAGUAUGGAUCAACUUAUAUGAGAGGGAUAAACUUACACCGCAUAAAGUCAGCAACCCUUACACCCCUUAUAUAUAUUUCUCACAGUAACCAAGAGUUCUCACUUGAUACACAUACACCUAUAUAUAUGGAAUUUGAUUUUUAUUGAUCUAACCAUCCAGUUAUAGCUAUAUAUUUCCUUGAUUGCUUGUGUUGAGUUUUGUCAAAUAAUUGAACAAUUAUAAGAAUAUAAAAUAAGGGUUCUUAUUACCAUCUAUUUUAAAACUAAAAAGUGUAUAUUACGUCAAUUUUGAUGUAUAUUAAUGGGAUAUGAAAUAAUUUUGGUUUAAAAUAAGAUUUUGGACAUAUGGGAUGCAUCCUUAUCAGGAUGAUUUGUUUCCUUUUUCUCCAGGAACAUGGUCCAGUGUUAAGGCUUCAGUUUCUGGAAAACCAUUUUCUCUUGGCUUCAAUCAACAAGUUUGGACAACUUCGUUAUCAGGACGUUACAAUGGGUUCCAUGGUCGGUAAUUUUCGAACUGGCUUAGGACGUACAAAUGUAAUGCAAGUGAACCCCUUCAAUGGGGUUGUUUCCUUAGGUCACUCAGGUGGUACUGUUACCAUGUGGAAGCCAACCAGUGCUUCUCCUCUUGUCAAGAUGCUAUGUCAUCAUGGGCCUGUCUCAGCACUGGCAUUUCAUUCAAAUGGCCUCUUGAUGGCCACUGCCGGGAAAGAUAAAAAAAUUAAGCUUUGGGACUUGAGGAAAUUUGAGGUUCUUCAAACCUUACCAGGUCAUGCAAAUACUCUGGAUUUUAGUCAAAAAGGCUUGCUUGCUUGCGGUAAUGGUUCAUUGAUACAGAUUCUGCGUGAUGUUUCUGGUACACAAAAUUAUUCCAAGUAUAUGACUCAUUCCAUGGUGAAAGGUUACCAGAUAGGAAAAUUGGUAUUUCGGCCAUAUGAAGAUGUUCUAGGCAUAGGGCAUUCCAUGGGCUGGUCUAGUAUUCUUACUCCAGGAGCAGGAGAACCCAACUUUGACUCAUGGGUUGCAAACCCGUUUGAAACUUCUAAGCAGAGGAGAGAAAAGGAAAUACGGUCUCUUCUUGAUAAGCUUCCACCUGAGACUAUCAUGCUGGAUCCCAGCAAGAUUGGUACGGUGAAACCAAGAAGAGAGAGGCCAACAAAGCAAGAGAGGGAGGCUGAAAUAGAAGCUGGCGUUGAAGCGGCUAAGGGCAUGAAACUGAAAAAGAAGACAAAAGGAAGAAACAAGCCAGGUAAAAGGGUACAGAAAAAGCAAGAGGCAGUUUCUAGAGUGAAGAGGCCCUACUUGGAGCAGAAAAUUCAAGAAGAGGAAAGCAUAUCAAGAAAGAAGCAGAAAACUAGUGAGGAUGUUGAACUACCAAAAUCACUACAGCGCUUUGCUCGUAAAAAAGCAUCAUCAUGAUUUAACUGUCCAAUAGAGUCUCGUAUUCGUCUUUACUUUCCAUCCUGUUGAUUUUAAGCUUCUUGUUUGUAUUUUUUGUUGCAUUUCAUAUUUGUAGCCUUUUUAGCCUUUGAUGUGAUGUUUUCGGCCUUUAAAGUAAAGGCAUGUCCAAAUUUUGCCUUACCGACCCUUGAUUAGAGUCUUUUUUAAUAUUAUAAGAAUCUUUACCUUUACAUAAAAAAUUGACGGGACCGAAUGUUUGGAUUGAUAAAAAGAGAUGUAAUAGAAUGGAAUGAAAUAAAACAAUAAAAUAGAGUAAAACAUAGUAUGAUAAUUUUUUUAGGAUAAAAUGUUUUAGUUUCUAUAUUUUUAGCAAAAUUUGGUUUUAGCCUCUGUAAUUUGAAAUAAUUAGUCCAUGUACACUGAUGACCGAGAGAUAAAAUAGGAAUUAAAUUUACUUAAAAUAGGUGCAGAAUUUAAUUGCCUUGUAUAUGUUUAUAUUUUGUUUUGACCUAACUGGUUGGAUUCAAGUCAAUAUGGGCCAGGUCUUAGAUUAUCCAAAAAAAAAAAAUUGGAGGGAAAACAUUAUAAAUUAAACCUAGUUAGAAAUAUCAAAUUAAAUAUUAGAUCAACCCAAACACAAAUGUGAGUAUAUCUUAAGUUAUUGAUAUAAGUUAGGAAAUACAACAACUGAAAAUAAGUCAAACACAACAACUAUCAAUCCAAAAUCAUUGAUUUUGAAUAGUAAGUGUGAAUAUAUCUGAAGAAGAGAGGACGAAUCAUUGAUUUUGAAUAGUAAGUGUGAAUAUAUCUGAAGAAGAGAGGACCAAGGAUGAUCGGAAGAUGACCAAGAAUGUUUUGUACUCUUUUUACAUUUUUCCCAUACCAGCAUCAAAGUAGGUCCCGUGGAAAAAAAAAUGCAUAAGAUUAGUCAGCGAAACAUUUUUUGGUCUUUGAUUGAAAAUCUCACUGCUAAAGCUGACAUUAGAUAUAUGUUUUUUUUUUAUAUAAAGAAAAAAAUUGCUUUGGUUGAGAACAUGCAGUGAUUAUGUAAAACAUUCUCUAAAAUAGGGAUCUAAAUUGCUUGCAGUUAAAUUUCUAGCAAUUGACCCUGCAGUCAUGAUCCAAAGACCAAAGGCUGAACUUUUUAUUCUCCUUGUAUUAUAUAUUACAAGGGUUGGAAAAUUAAAUCAGGGAUAGAUUAGAGAUUCAACUUCCCUUCUUUCUUUGAAUGUAAGGUGACUCUAGAUUUUAACCCCUAACAAGUAAAAUUAUGGUUUUCUGAGUUAUCUAUUUCUAAUCCUUUCUAAAUGUGUUUAUAUAGUUCAAUUGUUUGUGUUUAGAUAAUUAUAUUACAAAUAUUUGAUAUUUUGCAAUACAAUUUCUCUAGAGAUGACAUCUUUAUUAUUAUUUAUUUUUUGAAAAGCCAAGACAAAUUUUAUUAAAAAGGAUCAUGGUUUUGAGCACAAGGUGUGUCAAACACAUCUCCACAUAUGCCAAAAAACCUUCUCUAAAAGCAGUUCUUCACCCCCUAACACUACUAAACCGAGCCUACAAAAAAUCAGAACAGCAAAAUUUGUUGCUUUAUCUGGCAGCACCACUUUAUCUGGAUGCAAGAAUCUACACAGAAAGCAUAUACUUUCAUCUGAUACUUUAACAAGUCAAAACGAAACUACAUCUUUAUUAUUAUUUAAUAGAAAACUUCCAAAAUCUAUCUGAAUAUAGCAAUGACUUAAUGGCUUGUGCAUCUGGACGUCUGCUAUAUAUGGAAGAGAACCAUUCUGAAUGAGAAAACAUAUGUUUUAAAUUAUCCUCCUGCAUCACUAUAGAUCUCAAGGAAAGGAAAUUAGUGAGAAAUCUAGAAAUUUUUGGCCUGAUUAAUUCCUUCCCUCUUGUGAACUUUCUCAUUAUAUUCAAUAUCCAAGCAUGACUAUAAGUGUACUGUGUGUUUGUCUUUGCCUCUUCCAGGACUGUGCUUAUCCAAUCUUGUCUACCAAUAUCCUCUAACAUCUUAUCAAUACAAUAAGCAACACAAGAAGACCAAAACAAAAAACUAUACCUCGCUAUGAGAAGCCUUCCAGCACAAACAUAACCAGCACUAGCAUCUAUUAUAACCUGAACAACAUUUUCAACACCAACUUCCAGCACAACUGACUCCAGAAGCUCAAACAAAUAAGCACUAUCAUCUUCAUGACCUGAAACAUCAACUUAAUUCAAGAACAACGUUCCAUUUGGGCAUGCAAUAGAAAACACAGCAAGUGAUCCAGUCCUACCAUCAGACCAGUUAUCACAUAAGACUGUGCAUCCUGUUUCUUUCCCCUCAUCUCUGUAUUUUUUGUAAUCACUGUGAAUAUCAGCUUUCACUUUUUCCAAAAGAGUAGAUCUUAAUUUCUCAUAACUUGCUGCUUUAUAGCCUACCCCACACUGAGCUACAGCAUCCACCAUAUCCUGAUAAUACAUGGAUUUAGCAGCACUAAAAGGAAUAGAGUUGUGGAAGAAAAAUAUGGCAAGUUUUUCUAUCAGCAUCAUCCUGCUUUUGCUUUUGUUGCUUUUGGUUUCACCAUAUUAUAUAAUUAGUUAAUAGGGAGGAGGAGGGGGAAUGAAUCCAAAGACACAACUGCUGAGUUUUUCUCAUCUGAUUUGGGUUGGUCCAGGGAGUUCACACUUUCAAUUUUUAUACUAAAAAUAUUUCUCUAUUCCUGAAGCUGUAUCUGACUAUCUGGUAUCAAAGUUACAUAUCGAACCCUCCAACCUAACAUGUACGUUCACUCAUCAUUUAUCACAAGCAUAACUGAAGAUUUCUAGGAACAGUUUUUUACUAAAAUGUUAAUAUCAAACCAAACAAAUAUAACCAAAGGGUUUAAUUAUUUUUUUAACUGAUAACUUAUAUAGUAGAAAUAGAUUUAAAUUGAUUUGAGAAUGAGAAUAGAUUCAAGAACACCAUUUACUCACUCUGCAGUUUCUAAAACAGGAUUCCAUCCUUCGUAUCAAAUACUACAUGGAACAAUCACAUCUAUCCAAUUUCAGAGAUAACAUAAUCACUAAACAAUCCGAGAACCAAAUAAACGACGCAACAUCAUAAAAUGAAUCAAGUUAGAGUAAUAACAAUGUUUAGCAAGCAGAAAAGAAGAUAAAUUAUAAUAUGAUAGUGAACAUGUGGAAAAAAAGAAGAAAAAAAGAUUGGUCUCCACAAAAACUCUAUUUUCCUUGAAUAAUGCAUACCUUAAUUUUGGUUUCCCACCAUUCAUCACUAGAAGCAAUGGUUUUCUUCUUCUCAUCUCAAUCAAGACCUGUGUCCUUCCCAAUAAGCUUAGCCCAUAAUUGCCAUUCUUUUUCAAAGAAUUCCACCAAUUUCUGAAUUGUUUAAAUUCAUAUCUCAAAUUUGUUGCCUUAUUGAACUUUUCUGCAAUAUUUGCCCAUCCAAGCUUAGUGAAGUGGUUGUGAGGUUUAUUUCCAGCAUUCACCUUUUCUAUACACACUUUCAACAUAAUCUCAGUAUUUUUAUCACACCAUUUUGCUUUCUUUCUUUUCACAAGAAAUUUGAUUGAGAAACAUUUCACAAGCUUAAUGAAAUAAACAAAAGCAUAACUCUAAUCCAUAACAAUUCAAAAUUUAAUGAGAAGAAAAAGAAAUUAUUGAAGAAUUGGUUAAUCUGUGAUGCUCACAAUUGUGAAUAUAUCUGUAAGGAAAUUUUACAUAAAAGAUGUAAGAGACAAAAGGAAAGAAAUAUAAAAAAAGAAGGGUUGUUUCAUUACUUCAAAGAAUAUAAUAGAGGGUAAAAGACAGUGAUGAAAGAGUGAUUUGUGGUGGUGUAGCCUAAAAGGCAACGAGGCACAAAAAUAUGGCAACAAGAUGUUUGCGACUUUGUGAGAGAAAUUGAGGACAAAGGGUUUAAGUAUGUGUGUGUCUGUGUUUGUCUGUUGCAAGAAUAACAAAGUAAAACAAUAAUAAUAAUUACAAUAGUGAUAAAUUUAUUUACCACCAAGUUGGAUCGGAGAUCAAGUUCUAUUAGUUGAAAUCGUAACCUAAAUUGAAUAGUUCAAGUUGUUUAUUUCACCAAUGAGAGAUAACUUGCAAACUUGUUCAAACCAAGUCUUUUAAUAUAUUCGGGUUGGAUUAAUGUUAGGUUGUCCAACCCAUAUUACCCCUAAUUUGAAUAAUAGAAUAGUUCAAUUUAAUAUUUUAUGGUAAUUUCACACAUUAAUUUUGUUAUGGAUAAAAUACACGUGAUACAUAAUAAAAUUUUGUCAUAUUAGAGCGAUUUUGAUGGAUUAUCGUUUUAAAGAGUUUUAUUGUGUCAACUAAUUAUAAAAUACAUAAAUUAUGACUUUUAAAUAAUUAUUAUAAAAUUUAACAAUUUUAGUAUUAUUAUUAUUAUAUAUAAAAAUUCAUAAUUGGAUAAUAGAUAAAAAUAUUUAUACUUUGAAUCUAUUUUAUUUAUUCUACUAUUAUAGAUCAUUUAUCUUAUUGAAAUUAUUUUUCAUUGUUUUGUUCCAUUCUCAAUCGUUUAAUUUUACACCAAAUGUCAAUAAUAUAUUUAUUAUUUAUAUAAUAACAUUAAACCAAUUAAAAAUAUUGCUUACCUAUUUGUGAAUCUAUUAUAUCAUUUCCUAUAUUGUGAAUUUGAGUCUUCUUUUAUAAAUACGAGGUUUUUUUUGUUAUAUUCUUUCUUUUUGUGACAUGCGAUUCUACUAUUAUUUAAUACUCUUACAUUUAUAUUAUUAAAAAAAAUCAAAUCAUUAAUCAUUCUCAAAUUUUUCUUUACACUAGAAUAUUUUGUAUUAAAAAAAUUAUGCUAAGUUUUUAUAUUUUUAAAUCUCAAGAUUAAUUACUGUAAUUUUUAUUUUUAAAUUAAAAAUAUUUUUUUUGCUCAAAUCUUUAAUUUUUUAUAUUCCAAAAUUAUUUUUUAUUUAUUUCUAAUUUUACUCUUUUUUUUCCUACAGUUGAUUAAUAUAUAUAUAUAUAUAUAUAUUAACUCCAAUGUAGAAACUCACAUAGCAAUGCAAUACUUACUACUUAUUCAUUAAGAAAUUAAUUGAUGAAUUUUUAAACACUAAUAGAAAAAGGAUCGGUAUUUGACGUUCUAGAUUCAGUAGAUCGAUUCCAAUUACAGUUGAUGUAUUAAAUUUUUUUCUGCCAAAAAAUAAAACAAAAUAACAAUGCAACUACAAUUUUCUCAUGAUAUAUAUAUAUAUAUAUAUAUAUAUAAAGUUAGAUACAUAACCAAAAGCAAAACCAACACUCCAAAUUAAUUGGUCCAAAUCAUAGAAUACCCUAUGGAUUGCCUCGAUCAUUUCCUUAUAGAGUUAUACUCCUUAGUGCAGGCAAUGCAAGCAACCCAAAAACUGGAAAAAUUGAUGAUGUUUACAAUUGUUAUGAAAUGCAGAUAAUUUUCCCACCCACCUCAAACAUCCUGAAGCUAGUUCGUCCCUCCUCUAGUUCCCUAUAGAGAUAUUUUAUCAUUUUAUUGAGGGAGAGAGAUUAUUCAUAACUUUCAAUCUAAUACUUAAUUUAUUACAGCAAUAAGUAUUGAAUACAAAAUUAUAUUCAAACUAACACGCCUCGAAUCCAUCCGCAGCCGCAGGUGGUGGAUUGUGCUUAAUUAAUUUCAAAUUUCAAACAAUGCAUCAAAAUUUAGUUGGAAAGAGAUACUAUUUUAUAGCACACAUGUUGAGUAAAAAUAUAUAAUCAUUAUCCAUAUGGUUUUAAAACAGAAGUCUUAGUUGCAUGAAUAAUACAUAUAUAUGUCUCUCUCCAUAUCAUUCAAACGAUACAACAAAAAAGGAAUUGCUGGCAAAUGAAUUAUAUUCUCAUACAAUCCAUAUCUGUAAAUUCUUUGAAGCCUUUGGAACAUCGAAUAACAAGCUUGCACGUUCAUGGCGCUCUAUUUCCAACAUUUCAUUACCCUCUUCCUUCGCUAGAUUGAUAAUAAGUUUCUCCAAGACACAGCCAACUUGGAUCAGAUAGAAGCACAAACGCAAUUCAUUCUUGCUCGCUCGGGAUCCAUUUAUCUCCACCACCUUUAGAUUGUCUUUUACGCAUUCAAAAAUUGCGUAUUGGUCACAACAGAAUUUCGCAAAGUCGAAAGGAUAGGGCUUAACAUGUUCCUGAAAUAUACACAACCAUAUAUUAUAUAUAUAAAACAUAUCAACACAUGUUCCAUAGAGUCGUAUAUAUAAUAAAAUCAAAAGUAAUUGACUCACAUCAUAGAUUUUUCCUUGGCCUAUGUCCAACGUGAGUUUCUCCAAAUAAACACAACUGCUAAGAAGCAACACAAAUCCAAACAGUUCUUGAUUAUCCAAAUCAGUAUUCACGAGCAAAUGCCUCACCUCCAUAUCGUGCUGCAUACGCAUCUGUUCUUCUCCAGUAGGAAGAGCCUUUUUUUUUUUGCCAUGCAUUUAAAAAUGAAAACAAAUACUUAAAAAAAAUAAUCUAGUUUCUAACAAUACCAAAGAAAAAGAAAUAAAACAUCUUAUCAAUUAUUUCUUCCUUUCUCUCUUAAUUUGUAGACAACACCAAGUUAUACCCGAAAAAAUUUUCAUUAUUUUCAGCAUCUUUUGAUUUCCUUCCUAUCAUUUUCUUUCUUCCACCCCAUCCAUACUAAACUAAACUGGGUGGAUGUUAAUUCAUAUAUUUCCCAUUUAAAAAAGAGAAAGAAAAGUACGUACCUGAAGUAAGAAACUGCAAACUGUAAGAACACGAACACCACUGAGAUCGAGUAAUAAUUGACAAAGUUCAUCCCCAUAUUCUUCAAAUUUGGGCAUAGGAGUGAAGUCCAGUUGUGCUUCUUGUACGACCUCAGGGAGUGCUUUUACUUCAAAAAUCCCCAAUUUUCCAGAAUAUUUGAGAAACUUAAGAUUUGGCGCCCUCAAAUCCACGUAAUCAGAGAUGACAAAAUGACACUUAUCUAUGACCAAUCUUCUUAAUCCAACUUCUUGAGUACGCAUAUCAAAAUGUUCCAAAUUCCAACAUUUCUUCAUACUCAAGUUCUCAAGUUUCCCAAGAGUGGAUAAUAGAGUCUUAACAGUGUUAGUACUCAUUUCAAUCCACCCAAAAGAAACAUCCUUGAGUUCCACAAGGUUGCACAUAUCAGGCAUGGCAAAACCACAAGCAUACAACUCCAAAGCCUCAAGGGAUGCAUGCCUGUAAACAUGGUUUGGCAAUUGAAACAAAGCAUCAUGAUGGUCAUUAUCAUCAUCCUCAUUCUCCUCCCAUGUUGGGUCAGAGAAAUCAAGCCUUAACUCUUUAACCCCACGCUCAGUAGCAAAUGCAACACAACGUUCUAUAAUGUCAGCACAACUUUCAGGGUUUGAAACCUUGAGAGAAAACUUGUCCACUGUGUUGAUGACACGGUAGUUGUCCAUGAAGUGGGUGAUGAAGUCGAAGAAAAGUGUCCUUCUCUGUAAUUGUUUGGUGGCAUCAGUUUCAGGAGGGUUAAGAAAGAAGAGUUCGUUGAACUCUAUGUUCUUUGUUGAAAGCCAAAUUUUCGACCACCUCUUGGACAAGAUGCUUGUCCUUACAGCCUCUUUAAAUGGAAGAAACGAAACGAUUGUGAUUAAAACAAUUUCAGGCAGCAAAGAGGUCUUGUCUGCUUUCCUUCUUAUCCAUGCCAUGGCUAUAUAUGUAUGAAUGAAUGAAUUGUAAGAAAUCGAAGGCAAAAGUGAGCAAGUGCAACUUUUUGGAGGACGCGUUUCAACAGAAUUUUGGUGAGGCCUUGUCUCCUGCAAAAUCAAAAUUACACAAGACUUGUAUUAGUUUUCUCAUAUUAUUGGAUAAAAUGCUCUGGAUCAUGUUAAAUGAAACAUGUUCAGGAGGAUAAAUCUUUCUCAUAGGAAACAUUGAAGGUAUUUAAUUAUUAUUUUUAACUAAAUAGCUAUUAUGUGUUCCCAAAGAAUUAUGUUUCUAUAUCUAUAUUACAUAAUAUUAUAUUUAGAAUUGAUUUUUUUAAAACAUUGUACUGAUUCUAUCUUAAUAAAUCCAUUUUAAAAAUCAACAAUUUAAGGAUAUCAUAUGAGAGAAGUAUUUUAUUAUGAGAAAUAAGAGGAUUAAAUAGUUGUUCUUAAAUUCAAAUAGAAAGUCCAGAUUUGAUUGUUAAUUAAAACUACACUUACAUUCAAUUUUGAUUUUCAAUCUUUUGGUGUAUCUAAUUUUUUAGUCCUUCACACACUAAUUAAGAAACUAAAAAAAAAUAUUUUUACUCUAUCACUUGUUUAUUAUAAGAAAAAAAAACAUAGAGAUAGUAUUACUCAUACAUGACAUUGACAUCUUACAUGACACUCACAUACCUAAAACUCAUACUCGUGUAUGUAUUGUUCAAGACCCAUAAAAUAUAUGUGACAUCUUACAUGACACUCAGAUACAUGUGUUAGAUCCUCUAUCCUUACCAGUCAUGCUCCCCAACUAACAAGUCAUCUCUAACCUAGUAAUAUUUGAAUAUAUUUAAAUAUAUUUAUCUAUUGGCAGUAUUUACAAAGUCACACAUUACCUGCAAUGUAUGAUUAUCUUCUAGUAUCAUCUAUAAGCUACAGUUUAUCUCUAACAUCAUCUACAAGCUCCCCCCCAGCUAUUAUAUACAAGCCGAUCCUCUUGACAAAGGGACCUAUUAAAGUCGACAUGUGAAGUCUAGGAGCCCUCUUCUACCACUUCCACCCUAACGUGUGCUAAAUCUAGAUUUUGCUAAGAAUAGUGUACAUCAAUCAAUUGACUAAGUUCUUAAACCCCAAAUGUGAAAGCAUCAUUGAAGAUACAUGGGGCACAAUUAAACUUAGAUCGAUGAAGAUCGAUGCACUUGAAAAUACAAAUUUGAUAUGACAUAGGGGAAUUGUGCCUAAUUUUUGAAGAACACAAGUGAUGUCAUUUUAAUUCACUCUAAAUUAAACCAAAUUAAAUCUAACAAGAAAUAUCAAAUCAAAUUCAAAUCAACCCAAACCUAAAUGUAAGUUUACCCAUAAUUAUUGACAUAAGUCAUGAAAUACAACUCAAAAUAAGUCAAACACAACAACUAUCAACCUAAAAUCAUUGAUUUUGACUUAUAGGUUUGAAUAUACCAGAAGAAGGAUGAAAACCUAGAUGCGGAUGAAAUUAGGGCUUUGUUGUGCAGGAGUACAAAGGGAUGUGAAUUUUGACAGAUAAAUCAUAAAAGAUAAAAGGGGUCUUGGUGGUCUUGCCUAUGAUGUGAGAUGGCAAAAAAGAAAAAAAUAUGGUGACAAGAUAUCUGAGUUUGGGAAAGAGGAUUUUAGGACAAAGGGUUUGAGUGUGUAGAUGUCUUUGUGUGCUGUAAGAAUAAGAAGUAAAAUAAUUAAAAAUAAAUAUAUUGACCACCAAAGUCAGGUCAGUGUCAAGUUCUAGAAUAUUGAGGACCGAAAUUGAUUGGGUUAAGUUGUUUAAUCUCACGGUCCUAUUUAGAAGAUUUAAUAGGAAUGGUAAAACGAGUUGAAUCCUUUCUGUUAACUCGUUUUGAUCUUUUUCUAGCUAGCUAAGUUGAAAUUUUCAAACCUUCAACCUGUUCCGUUUUGGUUGGUUCAAAAAUUGAUUGAGAAAAAAGUGAAACAAACCAAUCAGUCAACCCUUUUUUAUUAAAAAACAAUUUAAUAUUUAUUUUGGUAUGUAUUUAUUAAUUGUUAAUUAAUUUACUUUUUGUCUAAAUAAAUUAUUAUUUAAAAUUUAAGGUAAUACAUUUAAUUUUUUUAGUAAGUAUUUAUUAUUUAAUAUUUAUAAAAGAUAAAAUUAAUUAACAUAUAUUUGUAACUUAACUUUUUUAAUAUUUUAAUUUUGACGGACCAAUUAUCCAAUCCGAUAAAGAUUGGAUCAAACUGACACACUUUGAAUCAUACAUGAAACUUGGGACGGCCAACAUGCUUUCCCACCCUUAAGACUCAGUCUAUAAUAUUUUAAAUUAAUUAUUUUUAUAUUAGGAAUGUUCUCGUUGGAAAAAACAAUAUAUUGACAACAGGAGUGGAAAGUAUUAAUAACAAAAGAUAGUUCUGAAAAUAAUUAUAAAUUUAAGAUAAAUUUAUUGUUAUCAAGUAAAUUAAUUAUUAAUAUUAAAUUUGUUGAUGAUUAUACAAAAUUUCUAAAUUUAUUGUUAACUUUAAUUUGAUGGGAUUCAUCUUCUCAUCUGCAUAGGAGAAAGAAAAAGGUAAUUCAAUAUAUUUUAAUAAAAAAUAAUUAAUACACAAGAUCAGAAUUGAAAUAAAUCUUAAUUAUAAAAAAAAAUUCAAAACAUAUAUAAAUAAGAACGAAGAGAAUAUUUCAAAUGACCAACAAACCCUGUCAAAUACAUUAGAAUUGGAUUAGAUAAGGUUAACUAGAUUCAUCAAGUUUCUCCGUCACAUGUUUCUUCUGAUCUGCAUAGCAACACAUUGCAAUCGAAUAUAUUAUGUGGAAACUCAAUAAGUAGUUUAAUAAUUUGGUUACGGAUAAAAUACACAUUUUGCACAUAAUUAUAUUUUAUUAGAUACUCGUGUUGAAUUUCUACACAAUAAAAUUAAAGUUUAAUUUUGACGCAUUAUUUGUGUAAAUUGUUUUAUCGUGUUAACUAAUUAGAAAAUGUAUAAAUUAUGAAUUUAAAAAUAAAUAUAAAAGUCAAUAAUUUUAUCAUUUAAAGUAAUUUAUAAUUUAGUGACAAUAUAAAAAAUUUUAAACAUUCAAUGUAUUUUAAGUGAAUUCAUAAAAUUAUUUUAUUUUUGUAUAGAUCAUUUAAUUUGUCCAAUGUCAACUGUUUGUCAUUAUUUUAUUUCAUUUUCAUUAAUUUGAUACCAAACGUGUCAUAAUAAAUUUAGUAUUUAUAGAAAACAUUAAACCAAUUAUUACAUAUUGCUUACUUACUAUGAAUCUAUAUAUCAAUUCCUAUAUUGUGAAUUUGAGUCUUCUUCUAUAAAUAUGAGCUUUUUAUUAUAUAAAAUUUGUUCUAACAUGCGAUUCUACUAUUAUUUAAUAUACUUAUAUUUAUAUUAUUAAAAAAUUCUCAAAUUAUUAAUUAUUUUCAAUUUUUAUUCAGACUAGAAUAUUUUAUAUUAAAAAUAUUUUAUGAUAAGUUUUUAAAUUUUUAAGCCUCAUGUUUAAUUACUUAAAUUUUUUUUCUCUUUGAAUAAAAUUCUUUAAAAUAUGUUUUCUUUUAAAUAGCAUUGCAAUUAAAAUUCUUCCAUAAUAUACCAAUAGUGAUUUGACUCAAAUACAGAAACAAUAUAAAACUGUAUCUCAUUAAUAUUGCUUAUUGGAUCAAGUUAAUGAAAACAUAUAAAAAGGAUAAAAAUACUUGAUCGCUUGAUAAUUGAAUAACGCAUCUAAGAAUAUUGGUAAUGAUAGUUAGGCAUCCAAAGCAAGGCUUAUGAUCAAGUGAGGAUUCUUCGUGUGCCUGUUAAGAUAAUAAAAUAAAACAAGGUAAACAAAUAUGAUAAAUAAACAUAAUUAAAAUAUAAAUACAAACUUGAUUAGAAAAUAAAUUUACCUUUAUUUAUAGUUCAUGUGAAGACAUUUUCUCAUAUUCCUUCAUGAUGAUUUUUUUUUUUUUUUGAAAAGGCAAAAGGAACCAUCUAUAUAGGUAACUAGUCAAGAGGCUACAAGCUGUAACCAAGACAUGCAUAAACAACAAAUUACAAAGUAUUUAAAAAAGAUAGUAAUAAGAGCAACUCUCCAAACCCAGAAACAGGUCCAAAGAGCUGAUCUAAGUACCAUAAUAAACCAGAAAUAAACGAAAACCUAGAAUGGAUGAUCAUGAGGAAAUUAUCACCACCAAAUAGCAUCAAACUUCCUAUUCUGUGAAUCAUCAUCGACUGAGCUUCGAACUAAAACUUCCUUCCUCGAGAAAACCAACUGCUGCACAGAAUUCCUCACUAAAUAUAUACUGCAAUUGCAGGACCUUAAUCAUAUCCACACUCACGCACCAUCUCUCCACUCCCCCAACUGAGCAACACUACACUUCCUACACACCUUAUGUAAGUACAUUGAUUAGAAAGAACGAAUCUAGUAAAUUUCAGAAGCUCAAUUCAUCAAUCUCAUUAUUAACAUAGAUACUUUUUUUAUCCAUACAUAGGUAUCUAACUUAAGUAUCAGAAAAUUUAUAACAACUCACCUACACUACCCAAUCAUUUGAAUUAGACUCCUUAAUUCUAACAUUCAGUCUUCUUUCUUGAAUAACCAUAUACCAUCUUUUAUUAUAUGAAUCGGUAAUAUAAAACAUGUGUACAUCAUAAUUACUUCUUUUAUUAUCUCAUGAGAUUUAAAACAUAUGUACAUCACAAUUAUUACUUUUAUAAUCUCAUGAGAUUUAAGGUUGAUUCGAUAAUUGAAAAAGAAUGAAGAAAAAAAGAAGGAAGGAGAAAUAUUGAAUACUCCCCACUAACAUUUGCCCAUAAUAAAAAAAAACUUUUUUUUAUAAUCUUCAAUCAAGUUACCUUUAAUGUCUGGUUGUGUCUCAAAGAAAAUUGUUUUUGAAGAAAAAAAAACCCGUGAAAAACCAAGGAAAAAUAAUAGUAAGUUAAAAUAAAAUACUAAUUUAUUUUUGUAAAUAAAGGAUAUACAAAAAAAAUAGGAUGUUAAAAAAAUAAAAACAGAUCCAAUCCCAAUUAUUUUAAAUUAAAUUGGAAUGGAUCAAAUAAUUUUUCUUUUCAAGAUGAAUCUAAUCUAAUCCGUGAACAUUUAUUUAGAAUAGGUUAAAAUCAUAAUCAUAGUAUAUAUCAUGUUUUUUUUCUCUAAAAUUUCAUUCCAAAAAAUAUCUUUAAGAAAACUUCAAAAGUCCAAAAUAACCCUGAAAGUGUGCUAUUUUUAGCUGGUACACAACCUAAUGGAAAUCUGAGAAAAAUAAUUCAUGGAAGGCUAGGUGGGGGUAAAGAUUAAGGUUGUGUUUGGUUGCAAAGACCAAAAUAAGUUACCAAAAGAUGGAGAUGGGAAGAUUUCGAUUGGUUUAUGUGAUUUUGAAGAAAGUAUAUAAAUUUAUAUAUAAAAAACUCCAUGUUGUAGUAAAAUCAAUUUUUUUUGUCUACGAAAUAAAAAAUUUAAUUUUCUUUGACACAAAAUAUUAUUUUUCUUAAAGCAAGCAAUACAAUAUAUCAUUUUAUAUCUCUUAUUUCUAUUAUCCUAUUUUUGUCAUCAAACCAAAUACACCAUAAAUGAAUGAGCAUCAGAAAAUGGCGUCACAGGAGGACGUGGGCACCUGCUUCUGCUUUAUUUUAAUAAACAAAUGACAUGAUAUAAUGAGCCUGACAUACUCCGUAAAUGGCGGUUAAUACCUAGUAAAAACACUGCCAUUUUUAAUAUGUGAACCACACCAUAUAGAUGAAAGCAAUUUAUUAUUACUAUCAUGUCAUCUAUUUUGAUCCACUUAAUUUGUGGACCCCAUGGAACAGGUGGAAGUAAUAAAAUCCGAUGUGCCUCAGAUACUCACUGUUUUUUCCACAGAACAAUCUUAAAAUAAUAUUUUCAACAAAUCAAGUGUUCCAAAAAACAAGACAAAGCAUUCCCAUCAUUAUAUGAGAUUUUUAUAAAACAAAUAUAGUAAACACAGCAAAUGAUAGUAACACAUAUUUUUAAUACUAUUAUCUUUCAUAUAUUUUCUUCCUAUUAAUUGAUAUUUAUGUAGUCAUGUGUCAAUUUCAUUCCUUGUUUAAUAAUUUUUAUUCCAAGCUAAUAAGACACCUGUAGUUUUGACUAAAUGGGCACUUAGCUUGACAAAUUUUGCUGAUUCAGUUAAAAAGAAAAAGCCAUUUACAAAGGAAAAAGUGCAUUUAUAAUGAAUAAAUCAGCCAAAGUAUAUUGUAAAUUUUAGUAGAAUAGAAUCACGGUAUAAUUUAAAGGAAAAAACACAUGCACAAUACUUUUAUGUUAUUUUUAUUUUUUUUCUAAAUAACUGCGUCAUUCUCAAUUAAUAAAAAUUCUAAUUUUAAUUAAAAAAUAAUUUGAUAUGCGCUGCAUGUAAACUUUGUAGUAAUUAAUAUCUGUGUAUUGUACAUAAUAAAUAUUUAUUUUAUAUACUUAAAUUUAUUAUAAAUAAAUAUCUUUAAUGUAUAAAUUAUAUUGUUAAAUUAAUAUUUUUUAUCAUAAUAUAAUAUUAGUCUUAACCAAUGAUGUUUUUCUUUUAAAUAAUUAUUAAAAUUUAAUUCAGAUUAAUUUAAAAGAAAAUAUAUUAAAAAUGAAAUUUUAAAAAGAUCAAAUAUAUAAAAUAUAAAAAUUUAAAAGAUGAAAAAGUUAAUUAAUUACAGUAUAAUACGUGCUUCCGAUAAAAAAAAAUAUAAAAAGUAUAUAAAAAACUGAAAGUCUAUUCCUCACUAUGUACAGUACUCCGCAAUUUGUAAGUUGCGAGCAUUGAGAGUACAUCUAAUUUAAUUAUUUUAUAUUUGUUUUUUUAUUGGUAUGAAACAUGCAAGAGGAGAUUAAUUACAAGAGUUUAAUCAUCGUUCAUUUAGAAUAAUCUUAUAUUUAAUUAUAAAUUAUUGUUUGAAUUAUUUUAAAAUAAUUAUUUUAAAAAUUAAUAAAUUUAUUAAUAAUUUGUGAUGAAAUGAAGUAAAACUUUUUAUUGUAAUAAUCCUCUUUCUGAUAGUAAAAUUAGUAUCGAAAAGUAUAUUCAAAUGAAGCUGAAAUAAAUAUACAUAAAAAAGAAUUCACCAAAAAAAUAUAUACAUACAAAAGAGGUUAUCCCAUCUCUCCUCGUUAUUUUUGCUGUCCUCUUUUGAAUCAUGACGCUCUUAUCCUCUCACCUACUUGUCUUCUCCGCCGUCCACCACCGUGCGCCGCCGACCACCACCACCCGGAACAGCCCAACAACAAACCACACUGUGCGGUUUCUGUGUUCUCCCGGCGUGCCGCCAGCUGUCCGCUUGGAUCAAAGGUUGCCGCGCUUUGUUGUCCCCGGCGCCGGAGCAGAAGAUCUGCUCUACAAUGCCGGAGCCACCGUCGGCGUUCUUGGCGGCGGUUACGCCCUCGUCCGUGCCUUUGACGAACUCACUCGGAGAAACAUCCUCCAACAGGUACAACUAUAUAUAUAUAGUUUCUUCAAUGCUUGCAUGCACUUACACAGUUUCCAAAACUGAAUCUGUUUUCCAAGUUUUAUUUGGAUAAAUUUUUUCUUGAACAAUUAUAAGGAAAAAUAAAUACAAAAUAAAAUAAAUCUAAUUUUAUUUUUCGUGAUCUAAAAUUAACUUAUAUGACACUGUUUCUAUAAACUAGUUUAGUAUCGUACGCACGUAUGCACGGGUAAGUCUUGAAAAUUGGUAGUAUAAUUAUUUUCGUAUAAUUGUAACACUAGAUAGUAGUACGAUGUACUUAACCGGAAACUAAGUAAAUAAGAACAAAAAUAAAUAUGAUUAAAAAGAUUUAUGAUCAACACGUCUAAAUUGAAUUGAAGGUUUACCAUAAUAAAACAAAUAUUAUACAAGAUUCACUUCAUUAACAAAGUCAUAAUAUUAAAGAUAUUAUUCGUAACAAGAGCACAUCCACAAAAUAAAGUUAAAUUAAUUUUAGUUUACAAGAAAAUCACAAUUCAUUUUAUUUUUAUAUAUAUUUUUUCUUCAAAUAUUUGUGAAGAAAUUACUCUAAUCAUACUCUACUAACAAUGACUAAUUCAAGUGAUUAGGACUUCGACUCCUUAAGCAUGUGAUUAAGACUUUGAAUCCGACGGGUGCAUAUGGAGAAAUCAUUAAUCAUUGUUGGGAGGUGAUUAGUUCCCCUAUGACUGGCAUUGAAAUUGUUGUGGCAGUCAUUCCAAUCGAAAUUUAAGUAUAAGUAACAAAAUGUAUCCUUUUGCAAACCUAGGAUGUUUAUCUGCUGGUUUCAAUUUGUGUUUUGGUUCUUGUUUUUUGAUUUGUGUGUUGGUGCUAGGCUAUGAUGUGACUGACUCACUGGGUUUGCGAAAAUUGAUUGGGCAGGGUCUGAGCAGAAAGCUGGUCCAUAUAUUAUCUGGCUUGCUUUUUCUGGUUUCUUGGCCUAUUUUCAGGUACCCCAUUUUAUGUUUCAUACGAGGAAGGUGUGUGAACUGCAAUGCAUUGAUUGCUGCUGCUGCUGCUGCUUUGUUUGAAUGUUUUGAUGUUAAUGCUAGGAUAGCAACUCCCCUAAGGCUCGCUACUUUGCCGCUUUUGUUCCUCUCGUCAAUUGCUUGAGGCUUUUGGUCAAUGGUCUCUCACUGGCUUCUGAUGAGGGACUCAUCAAAUCCGUCACCAGAGAAGGAGAUCCACUGUAAAUAAAUGUCUUCAUUCUAUUUUUGUCAACUUGGUUUGGUUUUAUUUGCUCAUGGGAGGUGUUGUUCAAAAACUGCAAAUUUUGGUCUGUCUGGGCAUUAAAUGUUCAUUCAUGUGCCUGCAGAGAAUUGCUAAGGGGUCCCCUUUAUUAUGUUCUGAUACUGAUUUUAUCUGCUCUUGUGUUCUGGCGUGAGUCUCCAAUUGGUGUGAUCUCCUUGGCAAUGAUGUGUGCAGGGGAUGGUAAUAUAACAAUAAAUACACACUUUCCUCUCUAUAUUCCUAUCUAAUAUAUGAUUUUUCUGCUUUGUUUAUUCAGCGUUGAACUUGAUGGUUUUGCAGGCAUAGCUGAUAUCAUUGGUAGAAGAUAUGGGUCCAUGAAGAUUCCCUACAAUGAACAUAAGAGUUUAGCCGGUAGCAUGUCUAUGCUUGUCUUUGGAUUCUUGGUUUCAAUAGGGUGUGUUACAAUCUUAUCCAACUUUUCAACACAACUUUCCGUUUUUUACACAUAAGGAAAUUGGCUUAUUGAUCAGCUUCAGUCUUAUUCCUAUCUUUAUGGCAGGAUAUAUGAACUAAAUUUACAUGUAAAAUGGGAAAAUAUUUUGUUUCAAGUAGAUUUGAUUUGACGUGAUGCUUUUGAUAUUAUUAUUAUUGCUUGUAGGAUGCUCUACUACUAUUCAGUUUUAGGACAUGUGCAGUUGGAUUGGGCAAGCACUCUGCCCAGAGUUGCUUUUAUUUCUUUCGUGGCAACAUUGGUGGAGUCUCUUCCCAUUACUAAGGUAGUAGAUGACAACAUUUCUGUUCCACUAGCUACCAUGGCAGUGGCAUUUUUCACUUUCCAUCAUUAACUCUUAGGAGUCUACUGGUCUAGUUCCCCUGUAAUGUCUUACUUGCCUUCCCUAUCCAAUUUUUUCCUGCUAGUGCGACAAUAUGAAAUUUAGUUUGUUCCUUGUAAAGAAAUUAGUGAAAAUUUUAUAGCAUAAAGAAUGGGUCAAGUAUUUUGUUGUGUUGGUGUUUUAAUUAACACGAUAAAUAUCUGUUGUUUUUUUUAUUGGUAUAGGAUUUGUAAGAAUUUAGCACACAAAAUUAUAAUAAAAAACGCACGGUAGUCUAACACAAUUGAUACCUAGUCUCCUCGAAAAUUACUUCCAAACCCAAGAAUUGGAUCCAAACUAGUGGCUUAAAAUAAGACUAAUUAUUAUGAUUGAUGUACGAAAGCAGAUUUUUCAUGGCAGGGAAUUGAUUGUGCAAUGGCAAUUUUGCAUUUGUCUCGUCCCGUUUGGACUCAGUCCCUCCAAAGUGGGGUCUUGGAAUAUACUCCAAAUAUCCUUUCUAUGCUAAAUUUUACCAUUAAACUUUUAUUAUAUUGUGAAUUUUAUCAUUAAGUUUUUGUUUUUUACAAAUUUUAGUACCAACUUUAUAAUUUUGUAAAUUUUACCUAAUUCGAUUUUGGUCAAAUUCAAAAUCAAAUUCAAUCAAAUUUGAUCGGUUGAUUCGGUUCGAUUUUCAUAAUUUUUUUUUGAAACUCAGUCUAAUUCAGCUCAUUCGAUUUGGUUUAGUUCAGAUCAAUGAAUCAUCCAUUUAAAUUUGAUCUUUUUUUCUUAGAACUAAUAUUUUAUAUUAUGAUUUAUUCAAAUAUCUAAUACAAUUAACACAAUAUUAUCAAAUGUCUGAAAGUAGUAAAAUUGAUUCAUUUAAUAUCAUUAACAUAAUAUUCUAAAAUAAAUUAAUACAAAUUAAAACAAAAAAUUAUUCAAGAAGAUUUACUAUAAUAGUUUGAAUUACAAUUAUUUUUUAUAAACUAAUUUUUUGCAAUAAGUUUCGCUACAAUUAGAUAUAUUACAACUAGAUUUGUUGCAAUCAGAUUUGUCGAAAUAAAUGAACAAAAUAUGAUCCAUUAAUAUUAUAAACAUGACAGAAAAAAUAAAUAUGAUAAAAGAUAAAACGAAUAAAAAUGUACAUGAAAGUAAUACCUUAAGAAAUUACAACACUAGUCAUCUCAACACUUGUAAUUCAAAAGUCCCAAUAUUAGCCGUAUUUAAAAUCAAACCCUAAACCUUAAAAUAAUACCUUAAGGAACUCCAACACUAGUAAUCCUGACACUUAGGUUUCAACACUUGUAGUUCCAACGAAACCGUAUUAUCCAUAUUUAAAUAAUUCUAAAAAAAUUAUAUGUCCGUUUUAAUUUUGAUCGGAUCUAUAAAUCUAAACUCGUAAUUCAACCCGUACAUGAACGAUUUUAAUCAAUUCCGUAACCCAUAAACAUCCCUAAUUUCAUUAUCUGAUUUUUUUUUAUAUUUUACCAUCACAUUGGGUAAUCAUCAUUUUAUUUUAUCUUUGAGUUUUCUUUUGUAACACGUAAGUGGUGGUAAAAUAUAUAAGAAUUAAAACUUAGGUGAUAAAAUUCUGAAAAUAAAAUUUAAUUAAUAAAAUUUAUAAAAUAAUAAAAAUUAAAUGAUAAAAUUUCCAAGCCUUAAUGUUCUGUGACUUCAAUAAUGAAGCUAAAUACAUCCACAUUGUAAUUGACGUAAAAGUUGAAAGCGACUUAAAACUUUGGAUGAUACAUGUGGCAGUCACUUCAAUAAAAACUUAAUAUCUUUUCCUACCAAUCAUUCUGAGACUAACAAUUAGUCUCUUAAUUAUGCAAAAUAUCUUGCCAAAGGAAAAAAAGGUCCUUAUUAAUCGUUUUUGGUACCUCAAUUAAUUCACCACCAGACUUUUAGGUAUAAUUAUGUUGGUAGAAAGGAAGUGUCAUAUUCACAUUGGGUGCAAUAAAAUUUGUGUGCCCCCAUUGGUUAUCAGAAUACACCAAUAUUGAUGGCAAGUCCAAGGACAGUGGAACGACUAAUUAAUGUAUAUAGUCUUGCUUCAUCUGCAAUCUGGACCACACUUGAAGCAAAUUUUGAUGGGUUACAAGUGCAACAGAGUGUUUCUCUUCAUUGCAUGUGGUUCAUUAUUUAGAUUCUAGACACAUUAUCUCAGCACAACAAAUAAAUAGUGAUUGACUUUAUGAGAUGUACUUUUACAGCAGAGCUUACUAAAUGCACUCUAAUUUGCUUGUUAAGAAGCAACACAUUUCUAUUCAAUGCCUAAAACUACAUAGAAUUGCCAGAUUACACCUAUAUUAUUUACAGAUAGCCAAGGGCCAAAUUAUCCAUUUGAAAUUUCAAGAUGGUUUCACUGUUUAACCACGGGCUGAAGAAACAAUAAAGUUGAGCAAUUCAAUGAUUCAUACAUUAUGACAACUAGAAUGAUAUCAUCUUCCAACUCAUAAUAUUUAAUAUAUAAUUAAAAAACCAUUUUUUUUCUUACAAAGUAUUGGGUCCAUCCUCAGACAUAGCUACAAUUAGAACUUCCACAUUUUAUCGUCCCUUCGAAGCAUGAAAGAGGAUGGAAGAACUCAUCACAAAAUUAAGCUGUGUUGAGGAAUUAGCUAGAACCAGCUUCAGCAAAAUCUGCGAAUUUGUUUUCUUUUAAUGAAUAAUUGAUUGUUGGGCAGUCAACUGUUUUAUCCCUCUUGCUGAACAAUAAAGAGGAUAUCUAAAAGAAUAUGUUCACAAAACCAGAAUAAAUUCACCGGUUUUGAAGUCCUUCAAUAGCCUUUUUCCACUGCCAUGCUCUUUGCUUUGCGUCCUCAAACGACAUUACCUUUUUAGGCUGCACCAUUACAUUAUUUAAUAAGAAAAAUAGAAGUUUGAAACAACUCAAAAUAUGAUAGGAUUAAGAAGUUGAAUUUAUACAAGUGAGUGCUAGGGGGGUAUUGCAAGUUAUGGAAAAUCACUUAAAAUAUAGCAAGAAUUUUUUUUACAUCAAAGCCCUUUUCAGGUCAUGCUGUUUGCUAAGGUGUUACGUACUUAAAUGUUUCAACUAUUAGCAUGGCCAUCUUGGAAUCUGACUUUGAACUCUCACACGUACUGUUUUCUACAUUUAUAAAUUUGUGCAAAUUGUAUAACAAGAACCGGUGAAGAAAAGAAAACUUACUGUGCAAAUCUUGAAAUUUGAUGGACUAGCCACUUGGAUGCUUAAAUCAUUUGGAUUAUCAGACCAUAUUAUAUUUCCCUUCACAAUUAGCUUUGAUGGGUCUACAUAGAUCAGCUUUGGUUUGUUGGUAAGGAUGAGUUGCACCUUCUUGCUUGUUAGUUUUUGUAAUUUCUUCACCAUAGAGAUCAUAAGAACAGAUUCCCCAGGUUCCAAAAAUUGCUGCCUGUAAGAUGAGCAUAAAUUUUGACAGUUUGACAAGGUAAACAUGGAGUGGCACUGUUGUCUUUAUUUUUAAUUUUUUUCUAAAUGUUAUUUUUCUGAUUGUGAGUGGGAACGAACUUUUAUCUCUAUAUGAGCAUGCAACUUCUCUAAAUACCGUACCAGGGAGAGAUUAUUACGAAAUUAUAAUCAAACAUCUAUGUAAAUUAAUAUCAUUAGAUCAAAUGAGACCUCAACGUGGCUGUUAUUUUUUGUCUUAAGGAUGAGCAAAGCAACUGAACAUUAAAACUAACAUAGUCAUUCCCCACUUAUGUAUUCCAAAAGGAUAAAUAAAUCCAUACAGUUCUUUGAAGUGAACACAUUAUACCAAUUGCCCAUCACUAGAAUAUGAUUAGAUGCAAAAUCAUACUAAUAAAAAAGGAAGCUUUGCAAACCAUUUUGAAUCGAAGGAAUCAAUUGAAGCUAGCCUAGUUAUGUGACCAGUCCCCUCAGAAGAUGUAGCACCGUCAGGUUGUCUAACCGAAGCUGCAGAACCAUCCCCAAUGUGAGAAGGACUCCACGAUGAGUCAUGAACAUCAUCAGACGCAGGCGACUGAGUCUACAAGUGAAAAUUACACAAGAGUUAGAAACUUUAUGUUCAUCAACAAAUAAAAAGGAUAAGAAAUGACGGUUCCUUUUCUUAUUCUCCAUAAAUAACAUUUCAAAGAGCAAAGGAAUGGAAGUCGUACCCCAGGUUCUGGAGCAAGUUUUGGAGGAAUUUGUGCCCUCAAGUUAUCCCAGUCAACCCCCUUGAAAAAUGGGUGACUUUUUAAAAUAGCAUAACCAUCAGGUCCAGCACCUGGUCUCCUGCUGGGGUCCAAAUCCUGCAUCAAAAUUGCAUUGCUAUUAAAAUUAAAAUUUCACAAAUUAAUAACCCACAGCAUGCAUCUUAAAGCACACUAAAAUCGUUGUCAUACAUACAUUAAAGGAAUUUUAACAUUACCAAUCAAUGUGAUAUUUUUUCAUGUUUAUCUACUAUAAUGUUUUUAUUACCAUACCUUGAUAAGUUUGAUUAAUAUGCAGUCAAGUACUUUAGAAAACAUGAUGUCUUUUCAAUUUUCAUGCAUGGUAGUAUUCUUCUAGGGAAAAAAAUUGCUGGGGUGUUUUUGACUUUCUAAAAGCUGAAGCACUAGUGUUGUGCAUCAACUACUACCAUACAAUAGACAACAAAAGUAGUGUCAAGGCUCAGCUUCUUAAACUCAGUUGUUCUGCUUGUGUUGUUCACUUGUCCUUCAAUGUUGCAUCAAAUGCACCCUAUGUCUGUUAUCCAAUAGCCUACAAGUAUAACUUCCUGCUUCCUGUUAUUAUUCACACCAUGCACCAAUGUGAUCCAUCACUCCCACCCCCAUCCCAAGUGACCUAGCAUUUUCAAAGGCUAGAUUUCCAAGGUAUCAGAAGUACCUUGGAAUAAAUGAAAGUGAAUAAAACAACUACAAAAAAGUUCCAAGCUCGACAACCAAUAGAAAUCAAUGGGUACUGGUUAGAGGAAUGAAAUUGACCAUUGGUACUACUCCCAAAUCAACAGAAAAAAUCAAAAUUGCAAAAUUCAUCUCCGUCUCACAACACUGUCCUUCAAGAAGGUCAGAAAUGAAACACCUUAAUCCUGGACGUUACACUGCUUUAUGAUCUCAAUAUGUCAAUUUAAGGAGUAGCCAAUUAAUUCACAAAAAUAGAAAAGGGAUAUUUCUUUUAAACAAUUAGCAAUGCAUAAAAAUUAUAUAGAACAUGAUAUGCUGGGAUUUCUAAGUGCACGGUCAUAUAAUACUAACCAACAGGCGGUCAAUAAGGUCUCUUGCUUCGUCAGAAAAGUAAUCUGGAAAUCUAAGUUCUCUUGCUAUAAUUCUUUGAAAAAUAAGCCAUUCACUUGCGUCUUUAAAAGGGGAAGUUCCAGAAAGCAUUUGGUAUAAUGUGCAGCCAAGUGCCCAAAGGUCAUUUCUGUUGUGAUAUAUUUGAGGGGGGGAAACAAAACACAGAAGAAAAGUUAUUAUAUAGGGACCUGGUAUGAAACAAAAGAAAUGAAGAAACUCGGUGCAUGAGCAAACUUAACAUGUGAAUUGUCAAAAAUAACCCAUGAUUUUGAAAGAAAAAAAACAAACUGAAGUGAAAAAUCUAUAUAGAUGGAAAACUGGCACAAGAAACAAUAGUUGUUUUGGAUAAAAAUGAAUGACUAUAUUCAAAAGAGAGCUAACAUCAUGAUGGGGCCAUAAAAAAUAAUAUUAUCAUAACAGAAUUCAUCUGUAUUACAUUGGUAAUUUAGUCCCUACCCAAAAGUUGCUGGAGAGGAAUUAAGAACCUCUGGAGGAACAUAAGCAGCUGUUCCCACAAAAGUGCAGGCUUUGUCAUCUAGAAAAAAUACAAAAAUAAAAAAUAUAUAUAAAUACUAUAUAAAAGAAAACUUAUAAAAGCAGCUUCAACAUUGCUUCUAUUUACCUGAUGCUGCAUUUGGAAGGACAGUUAUUUGGCUAUCCUGCAUAGGCUUCACACUCCCAAAAUCGGCUAUUUUAAUAUGUCCUUCAGCGGUAAGUAAUAAGUUCUCUGGCUGCAGUUGAAGAAAUUUAAUAUUCACAUGGCCAUAUAUGGCAAUGAUGCAGUAUAAUCAUGCCACAGAACUACCUUAAUAUCACGAUGUAUGACUCCCAAAUUAUGUAUGUAUUCAAGAGCAUCGAUAACUUCAGCUGCAUAGAAUCGUGCCUCAUUCUCUGAUAGACGACCUUUCUGCACAUAGAAAUCAGAAAGGUUGCUAGUAGAUAUCAUGCAGUAACAAGCAUGCAGAAAGUUACUAGCUUACAAAUUAACAACUUCCAUAUCCCAAAAAGUACUAAAAGUACAAAAUAGCUUCUAAAGAGAGUCCCUGACACAGAAACCAGAAAAGCUUGCUAGUAGAUAUCAUGCAGUAACAAGCAUGCACAAAGAUACUAGCUUACAAAUUAACAACUUCCAUGUUCCUAACAGUACUGAGAGUACACAGAUUCUUAAGAGUACCCUGACACAGCUGAUGAACGAUGAUACAGAAAAUAUGACAGUACAAAAGUAACAUUUUGAUUGAACUGAGGGUAAGGGGGGCAAUGGUUAUUAAUUCAGCUGAUACGGGAAUCAGAGUUUGAUACCUUUCUAAAAAAUAGUGCAUUUAUGAAUACUAUUUAGCACUGCAAACUUUUUGCAAGUCUUCAAUUAGAUGCUCAUCUUUGAAUGAACUUAUUUAUUCUGUGGUGUAUGUAGAUGAUAUUGAUAUUGACAUUAAGGACCUAAAGCAACACUUAUUCAAGCACUUUCUAACCAAAGAUUUAGGGAAAUUGCAAUACUUUCUUGAAAAUGAAGUGGCUCAAUACCAGGCAGGUAUUGCAAUUUCUCAAAGGAAAUAUGCCCUUGUCACAAGGAUGCUUGAUUGUAAACACAUACUUUUGGAAGUAACCAAACAUGUUACCCAAAUGAGUUUACUCUCCAAACUGAGUUAAGAGCUCUCCAAACGAAAAACCAAACAUAGCUUCACAUUGUAAAGUGUAAAAUAGUCUAUUUUAGGUGGGGGUAAAAGGGCGAAGACAGGAGUUCAGACUGUAAAAUACUCAAUUUAAGUCAAUGUUUUAGAUGCUCACAGCUUCAUACUUGCUAAAUAAGAUUGAAGAUACUAAACUAAAAAAAGGAUUGACAAUUCUCUGAUGAAAUUAAGUAUUCUCUGAUGAGAGAACAAAUGCACCUGGUGAAACAAUAUUAUUAAUGGGAAGGGGGGUUGACCAUGGCACCACACUGCAUGGGUAUAAAUCUUUAAUCUAAAGAUAUGUCAUCUCAUAUACUUAGCAUUAACCAUGGUUCAUUUUAAUGUUCGAAUGAAUGUUCUGCUAAAAGAAUUAGAAUGGGGAUUAGUCAAUCAGGAAAAAUUGAGUGAACAGUAGGUCUAGGCAAAAAACUAAGUUUAUUGUUAUUUCAAGAAGCUUCAAAAGGUGAAGUGCAAACAUCCUUCAUUUUCAAAAUGUUCACUUAUGUGUAUUCAAAGAAUUGAUCAAAUCAUCAAAAAGACAACACUAAGUUAUCCUGAAUCUUAGAAAAGCCUAUGUUAAAAGAAAUUAUGGAAAAGUAUAAAGAGCAUAACAAAAUCAAAGUAAAUAUCAUUGUUUUAAAAUUUAAUACUAAGACCUAACAUAGGACUAAACUUGGGUAGUGCAGGACUAACACCUUCAGCACAUGUUCUAUAAGAUUUUUUCAAACAAAUUAUGUAUACCCCAGCGCAUGUUCUAUGUGCCUUGAAGUUUUAUGUUAGCUUACCCUGGUUAUUUGAUCAAAAAGUUCUCCACCUUCACAGGAUUCAAGUGCCAUGUCUUCACCGAUGUAAAAGAAAAAGGGGAAAAAAUAACGUCAAAAUAAAUAUAAACCAACUUGGCAAACAAGGUGAGCAAAAGCUAGAGUUGAAAAGGUAUCAGAGAGGAGUAAGUCAGAGCAUAAGCAAGUGUAAAGGUAAAAUACACCUACGAAUACUUACAUAGAGAAAAUGAGUCUUGAAAUGUGAAAUAUAACCGCACAAUGCCUGGAUGAUCCAAUUGAUCUAGCACAAUGCGUUCCAACUUCACAUAAGCUGUUUUGUUCUCUUUGGUAAUAAAUUUUUUGUCCAUGAUCUUCAAUGCGUACACAAUUCCAGUGUCCUUCUUCUUUGCCCUCACAACCUUUAAACAUAAGAAGAAAGAUAUUUGGUGAUAAUUUACAAGAGUAGAUAAAUCCACUCAAACAACUGUUCAGCAUAUAUAACAGAGGGGAAAAAAAAGUCCCAAAAUGGAACAAAUUAUGAGACAGAGAAAGUGUAGGGAGCCAGACAGACAGAAGCAAAGGCAGUAUAUGAUAUCACAUAAAAGUAGAAAAAGGGGGAAAAAUAUAUGUUUUCAGUAAGAUGUCACAUACUCGUAUUUGAGAUCAACGCAGUUUAAAUAAGUACUAUGUUGAGGAAAAGAAUGGGGAAUUUCACACUACUAAUGGCAAGCCAGAAGCAGGGUGGAAUUCCCCAUAAAAGAAGUAAAGCAUCACAAUAGUACACUCAAAGGGAGAACAUAUUGCCGAUUUUAUGCAUUAGUGGUUUCAUAUCAGUUCCAGCAGGGUAAACCCCCCACACAAUCAAGCCAAUUGUUCCUUCAGUUCGCUUCAUUUCCUACAGCCUAUUAUUUCUUUUACUUCCAGCUCUACAACUUAUGUAAUUCUCAUUAAUUAAAUCAAAGAUAAUCUCAAGGAUCCAUUUGUUUAGAAACAAAAUGGCUUAAUUUCUGAAGCUGAAUCUUUGAAUAUAAUUCACAAUACCAUAAGGGCUAUCAACAAACAAUAGAUAGCUCAGAAAAAUGUAGAAUGCUUUCCUAUUGAGUAAAAAUCAGAGAGAAUGGGAAGGGGUGGAAUUUAGCAGCCAUUCAUGACAAAAUAUCAAAGAAUAAUCACCCUAGCAGAUCAAAAUUCCCAAAUGAAGAUACCAAACGGUGCUUCAUAACAAUAGAUAGCAGCAAGGAUGACAAUAUUGCCCAAUGAUCUCUACUACAUAAUAAGCAUCAAUGAUUAUCCAACAGGCAACCAACAUCCAACAUGUCUUAGUAACAGAACUACAAUGCCAACAUUAUUUACAGGAUCCAUGUAUUAUCCAUCAAAACAUUGCACACACACACAUACAAAAGAAAAAAAGGUAAGCCAAUAUCAACCCACAAAACGAAAACAACAAAAGUCCAUGUGUGAGACCUUAGAAUAAGAGCCAACACCAUAGAUCUUGCCCAAUUCAAAGUCCUGGAUAGUGUAAUUCUCCUGGGGUGCCCUAAAAGCAAAGCUUUUGGAUCUCUGUACAUUCCCAGCACCAUUGGAAGAUGAGGAAUUCCCCUGAAUCUUCAGCUUGGAAUCAAAAUCCUUCUCCAUUUCCAACAUUGCUCGGUCACCAACAACAACAACAACAGCAACAAGGGAAGAAGCUCCACUCUACAUUCCCAUGGUGACUUUCUCUCUCUAGAAAAGCAGUUUUCUCUCUCUCUCAAGAGGCCUGGGGAGGCGAGCCCGGAACGGUCAAAGAGAGGCGAAGCGCCGGAGACCCUUUUGGCCGAAAAGGAAAAGGGCGAAGGGAAUUGUGCGAAUGAAUGGGAAAGGUGGAAAAGCUUUGGGUUGGGCUGCGAUUGAAAUUGGGGGAUUGAAAACCCUAGAGAGAGGAGUGGCACAUCACAUGGGGAAGGGAAUGAUGAUGGAGAUCAUUCAUUCAUUUUCUCAUGCCUUCUUUCUCUCUCUCUUUGUGGCUAUUAUGGCUUAAAUCAGGAACAAGGCAAACAGAACACCUGUCAUGGGAAUUGGGAAGGGAAUGCAUAUCAUUAUAAAAGCCUUUUGUGCAAUUUCAUGCUUUUCUGUUGUCACUGUCCUCUUUCCAAUGCCAAUUCCAACAUUGGAUUCAAUUCUUUGACCCUUUUGACUGCAUUUCCACUUAUCAUUACCAAUAACGUAACAAUACUCACACCACUAUAUUUAGAAUAAAUCCACACUCCACAGCUUUCGUAAAUAAAAAAUUAAAUUAAUUGUUAAUUUUAUUUUAAAGUAUUUUUAUUUUUUAAAUAUUCUCACCGAUCUUAAAUAUAAACAAAAGAAAGUUGGUCUUACAUAUAAACAAAUUAUCAACUAAUUUUAUCUUAUUUAAUAUCAGCAUUCCUAAAAUAUAUUUUUUAAUUGGAUUUUAUUUUUAAUAUUUUUUGUUAUUUUUAUAUCAAAUUCUAAUAAAAGUUAAUUUGAAAAAAAAAUUAAAUAUAUACAAUUGAAUGAUGUUAACUACAGCCACUUUUAAUAGUUAGCGUGAUGGAGAGAGUAGUCUUUAAAUUAAAUAGUACUCCUUAUCUAACUUUUAUGUAGUUAAUUAUUUUUAUAUAUAUUUUUUAACGUAAGAACUAGAUUUGGUACAAUGGGUGUGGAACCUCUUCCACCCAGUACAUAUCCUUGAACAGAAAAGCUAAGCUAGCAAGCUUGUCACCCAUUGGCCUCCUUUUCCUAAUGAAUGGAUUUCUUAACAUAAAAAUAAAUAAAUAAAAAGCUUGAUUUGGUAAAUAUUUCGGUAAAAAAAAUCGGUGAAUAUUCAAUAUUUUAAAGAAUACUUAUAACUUGAGCAUAAUAUAUUCGUUCUAGAUUUCGGUUCUAGUUUCAGAUAUCGAAUUUUAAAUAGUUGAACUGAAACUAAAGUCUCGUGGAUUUAUUACAUGUUCGAUUUUAAUAAUUGCCGCAAACUGUUUUAUUUUAUUUUAUUGAAGAUUGCCACAAUCUAAUUGUUACAUUGUUUUUUAUGAUAAUAAAAAAAUGUUAUAACCCAUGCGGAAUCCAAAUGUAUGCUUUGUUGAUUGAAACGGGAGUUUCCUUUGCUUUCUUUUUAAGUCUCAAUGUUUUAGGGAAAAAUAUUUAUUAUUUUUGAAAAUUAAAAACAAUUAACAAUGAGUUCUAUUUUAUUAAUUGUACUUUAUUUUAUUUCUAAUUAUUUUAUAUAUUUACAUUGAAAAAUUAAAGGUGAAAUGAAUAAUAAAUAGAGAAGUAAGAUAAGUAAAAGGAAUAAUAAAAAAUAGAUAAUAAUUUCAAUAACAAUAAUAAUUUUAAAAUUGUUCACACAGGUUGUUCUUUUAUCAAAAUUUGAGAUUCGAAUUUUUGACUUUAGCAACGUUAAAUAUACCUAAAAAUAUCACUUUAUCUUAAAAUAAGACAAUUUGAUCAAAGAAAAUUAGUUGGAUGUAAAAUAAAAUAUCCUAAAUAUCUUUUAAUUUAAAAAAAAACUAUGAUAAUUAUAGAGAUAGUCAGUUUUGUAGUGAAUCACACUGAUUUUUUACUUGAACUUAUUCGAACGGGCAAUCACACGACUCUAUUUCAAUUAUAAAAAAGUAUUGCUUAUGUUUUUUUUGUUGGGAUCUGGCCACCUAACCCGGUUUGUGUGUGACCUUAUAUAAUAUAUAUAAAAUGUCGCACUUCUAUUUUGGCACAGUCACACACUAUUACUUUUAGUAUUGAUCUUUUCUAUUACAUUAGGCCUUUCAAAAAAAUGUUAAAUUUACGUUUUGUAUACAGUCCCCUUUAUAUCUUUGCCACAGAUCAAAAAAUCUAAUGGAAAUGAGAGAGGGGGAAACUUCAAAAGUUGUAAAGGUGUAAAAAAAUUAAUGAAAAUUGUAAUGGUGGUUAAUUUUUUAUGUUUAAUACAGUGUUGCUUUUCUUAUGAUUUCACCCUCUAUAUAGAGAGAGAGAGAAAAAAAACGUAAUGAUUUCACCCAAAAUAUUGAUACUAUUAUCGGGCAACAUUCUUCCUUGUUAAAUAGUAUAACUUGAAUGGUGAUUGUUUUCUUUUUAAGUUAAAAACUAUUCAAUUGAUAUAACCGCAUGUUCACCAAAAUGACUAUUUUUAUGACUUUUUUUUCUGGUAUAAUUAUCACUUAGUUUAUUUUUUUAAAAGGAUUAUCACAGUAAUACAUAUGUUGAAGUUUACUUUUAUCCCAAAAAAAAAAUCUGAAGGGCAGAAAUACUCCUACCUCUCCCAAGCAAGCUCUAUCUCCACUCAAUACCACCUUCGACUCAAACACCACUCCCACAAUCACCCAACACCCGCCGACAACCCUGAUGUAAGUAAGAAAACGCAAACGGAGUCAUGAAUGAUAAAGAGGUGUAAUACUUGACCCUAUUCCAAAAAGGUCUUUUCAAAAUAUACUAAUUCUUUUUAUACUUCCAAAAAAGCCUUUCUAAUUUUUUUUAUUUAUUUUGUUUAUACUUCCGGAUAUCACAAGUAUUCAUGCACCUUCAAUUCCCUCAAAAGGGAGGGUUGAUUUUCUAAGUUUUAAACGGUAUUUGUCAAAAGGGUCAUGGCAACGUAGUUAAUAUUACGAGAGAUCAAACUAUCAAUAUGCCGUAACUUUCUGGUCUAUUUUGUCCUUUAUUGCCCAUCUGUCAUAUUUCAUAUUCAUCCCCCCUUAAACCAAAAACCAACGUCAAUCUAAGAACAAAUGAAAGCCACCAUUUACAGGCUUGGAAAUAGUCAAAAAGCAAUGAAAAUUAAUUAGAAUCAAUUCCAGGAUCAGAAAUACAGUUCCUAAGAAAGAAAUGUCUUUAGGAAACAUCUGUAGUCCUAUUUUCCAUUUGUCUCACUCACCCUUCUUGAAUCAUUCUUUCCUUCAAUCACACCACACCCCCGGUGGUUGGAGCCAUAAAUUAAAAAAAUAUAACAUGAAAAGGCCAUUAUGGAACCAAUUUACAUGUUGCUUGCAGACAUUCAUUCUAUUGGAAACCCCCUAAAAAUAAGAUUCACAGUGGGGUACAAGUAUGGACAAAGAAGACUAAACUUUAUACCCGCAAAGAUGAAAAAUACAAAAGUUGGCAACGACCUACCCUAUAACAAAAACUCCCCUACUAUACAUCCCAACCAUCGUUUCUACUGUCAAAUCCCCAUUUACGACCAGCUAAACUUCCAUACAUCUCUGAAAAUUUCAUCAGGCAAUGGCUUCUCAACUGAUAAUGUACUUUCGUGUUUCGGCUAAUCGCUGCACCAGAAAACUUUGAAGUGUCAAUUGCCCAAGCUGGUUUCACAUAAUCAACAGUCCUUGACGAUGAGCUUGCAUUUGCAUACAAAUAGUUUAAGAGCACGUCUUCACAGUUAAAUAUCUUGUCCACCAGUUCCCUACCUUUCUCGGCUUCCUUGCUCCCGUACCUCUUGAAAGCCACUUGAGAAUCAAUAAAAGCUGCACCAGUAAGAAUCAUGUUGUACCCCUUAUGCGACCGGGCGUAUUUUUCUCCCCUAUAUUUUAACGGGCUCCCAUCAAUGAGCCGAGGAUAGAAUCCAACAAUCCGAUCUGGGUGCUGACGCCACACGUUAAAACCUCGCUCAACAUCAUCGCAUGGCAUCAUAAUGUCAUCGUCAAGCUCAAGGACUGCUCGUGUCUUUAUCAAUGGAUCGGCAUUGAACCGAUUAUUCAGAGAGUUCUUUUUCUCUUCCCUGAUCCUUACUGGUACUGCAGAAUCUAGAUCACUCAAUUUUGGAGGGACUCCCUUGUUCCACACCACCACUAUCUCCCGCACAGAAGAGCAUCUUGAGUAAUGUUUCACAUACAUUUUCAAAUUCCAAAGUCGAGCAUCGUAGGUCAUUGUUAGUAAUGUGAACUGGGAAUAUUGCCCUUUCAAUGGAUAAGGUUCUUCAGAGCCAUUACCACCAUAAAUAUUUUUCACUCCUAUGCACAUCAAUCCAACUCCCACAGCAAAUAUUAUGGCAAGAAUAAACCUCCUAGCACAAGCAUUAUGCUUUAUUUUACCACGGAGAAAUGUUGGGGCUCGGUUCAGACGGCUGCAAAACCGUCUUACUCUUGAACAGAACACAUUUGACCUUUCCCAAGACAAGACAGUAAAAUUUCUCUUCCCAGAGUUAUGAAUAAACCAAUUCAGAGGGACAAUACAAUUCACAAAUCCAAGUAGCACACCCAAUAGUACAAUGAGUAUAGCAGCGACCGCAACAGAAGCACAACCAACCGUGAAUCGCCGGACUGAAUCUCCAGAAGGAACAUGAUCCCCAUCCAUGACACCAACCCACCCACCAGAUGGCAGGUGCUGCACAUCUAAGUGAUGGUAUCGAGCCCCAUUCCAAGCAUUUCGACCCUUGUUUGAUUCAACAAAGCCUAAGGGUACUUCAACUUCUUUGUAUUCAUCAAUAGUGAGAGUUUCUAUCUUAAAAACACGCAACUUUCUCCCAUAUGUAUCACCACAGUCCUGACCCAUACGAUAAAGAUUUCCUUCAUAUUUAAAUGGCCUGCCUCCAUUGCGAGCUCCCAAGCUCCUAUCAAUGUUAUAAAUGGGAUUCUUCUUGUGAGGAUUCCAAGGACCAAGAGGUGAAUUGCUAUACCAAAUCUCCAACUGCCCAUUUUUCUGGGUGCCAAAACCACUAUGAUCUGACCCAAAAAGCCAAUACCUCCCACCAUGAUUGAUGACAAAAGAAUCAACAAGGGGCUUUUUCAUGACGACCUUUUCCAACCUCCACUGCAAAGGGAAGUUAACUGCACGGUAGAGACGAAGAUCUCCCUUCUGGCUUCCCUCAGGCAUCAUAUAUAUCUGAAGUUGCGAACAAGCAAAAAAAAUGAAUAUUAUACUAUAAUUUAACUACAAUAAUUAGUUUGAGAAGUAGAAGAGCAUUAGACAAGUUCAUAUGCAUCAUAUUUCUAACUAAACAUACACAUUAUUUUUGUCAGGAACAAUACCUGGCCAUCAUGCUCAAAGACAUAAGGAUAAGAAAGAUGCCAAUCCUCAUUCAAGGCAAUUCCCAACUGCUGCCAUGUUGCUCCCUUAUCAGUACUUUUUGAAACUCCAAUAUCACCUUGCAUAGUGAUUGAAUUUUUCGUCUCAUAGAACAGGUAAAAAGUAUUUCCCUGAAUUGCAAUACCAAUAUGAGUGAAUAGGUUCACAAUGAUUAUUCAUAUAGAAAACAAGAAACUUCAAAGCUGUAGACACCUCAAAUGAGAUAUUGACCUAUUCUCCAUUAAUAUUUCUCACCACUCAAUUGUUCUUUGCGCAUCUACAUAGUCAUUCAUAUUCUUCUUAGUGCACAUGCAAAUAUCUACAACCUUCUUUUAAUAAUUACACCUUUUCCAUUUGAAGACAGUUUAUCAAAUGUUCAUAAUACACAUUCAGAUAUCAGACUAAGACAAAAAGUUGACACUGUGGAGUAUGGACAUAAGGCUGAUAGAGAUUCCAGAACUGUUCUAGACAUUCUCUUUCAUUGGAUCUAUUCCUACUAGCUUUAUUUUUAAUUAUACAACAUGAACAACUAAAGAGACACUGUUUCUUUUUUAUACAAAAGAGAACCUCAAUUAUUAAAGUUAUUGAAUAAGUGAUGGCACUAAAACUCAGAAGGUUUAACAAUACCCAGUUAUAAUAAAAAAAGAAGAUAAAUCCCUUGUGCUACACACACGCGCGCGCACGGAUAUAUAGAUUGAGUAGAAAACCUACUUUUCAUGUUAUAUAGAAUACUAAUAAUGCAUGUGUAACAGUACAAACAACUGAUGGUUUAAUUACAGAAUCCUCUCUAUAAGUUUGACGCAUAGAAGCCUGCUUUUGAUGUUAUAUAGAAUACUGAUAUUAGGUACUUAACAGUACAAACAACAGAUUAUUUAACUAAAGAAUUCUCUCUAAGUAUGACACAAUAGAAGCCUACUUUUCAUGUUAUAUAGAAUACUAAUAUUAGGUACUUAAAAGUACAAAGUACAAAGUACAAACAACUGAUGGUUCUGCUAUGAAACUCUCUAAGUAUGACACAUAGUAUUAGUAAGGACCCUACUACCUUGCAGAUAAGAGCAAGACCUUGCAGAUAGGAACAAAAUACAGGAUGUCACUCGAGCACUACCUAGCCAUAAAUUUCCAUCUCAUUUUACACUUCAAUUGUUACAAUCUGACAAAUUCUGACCUCCUCGUCAACUUUUCAGCAGCUUCUCACUUAAGUAAACAAGUAGGGAAUCAUCUCAAGCAACUAAGAAAAUAUUACUUGCAUAUUAUAUAGAUUCAGGCUCCCUACUUUCAACCAGAAAAAAGCUCUAUGUGCCUGUUUGGUUUCACGUUGGAUUAUCGAAAACAAAAGCAUGUCAAAAUACAAGUUUAACAUGAUUUUAGAUAAAUGUUCACAUGAUUGAUUCCAUGAUAAAGAAUUGAUUCUGAACCUAAAAUUGAUUUUGAAUUGAAGCAAUUUAGAUAACUUUUGUAUAAGAUAGAAAAAAUUUAUAGAGUUUUAGUACUAACUUGCUUUUAAAGAAAAACAUCCAACAAACAUAAAUUACAUCAUUUUAAAAUCAAUUGCCCCAACACUCCCCCAAACAUACAGGUAUCGCUCCAUGUCAAAUUUAAAGCUCCAAGCAAUUUUCUCCAGAAACAUGCAAGUUAAUCCAAACUUCCUGACAAAUAGUAAUAACUAUAAGUAACAUGACGUAUUAGAUUUCACUGUUUCCAUACACGUUCUAAAACCAAACCUCUCUCUCCCUACAGAUUCAUAACUGAAUCCAAACCCUGACUUGGCAAACAAAACAGUAUGCAAAAUAAGAAAAAGGUAGGAUUUUUCCGGUAAAAAUUGCAGACACAUAAGGAAUAAAAGGGGGAAAGUACUAAAACUAUUUCACAGAAUCAGAAGCACCAGAUAGAAACGUGAUGAAGGAGGGAACCAAAGGUGGCAGCAAGAACCGAUUAUUAUUAUUAUUACCUGAAUAAAAAGAAAAGGGUCAGCAACAAAAUUACUGGGGUAACCAACAUCAGAAACUGAAGCACACGUCACCACAGGAUUCGCGACAGGCCAAGCAGCAGUCUCAUCGUUUGAUACAUUCGCCUGCACACAAUAAUCAACACCACCAUCAUCCUCCAAAAAAAAAAACACCCCACAUCACAAAACCAAACCCCCAAUUAAAAUAAUUCACCACCACCAUCACUCCACCAAAACAAAACCAACACUCCAACAACCUUAAAAAAAUCCUCCCACCCCCACAAAAAAAAAAAAAAACAUUUUCUUCAAAUUUUUCAUUUUAAAAAUGAUAACUUUAAGGGAGAAAUUAACACAAACAUGCACAUGAACAUCAACACCAUCCCAAGAAAGAAACUUACAGCUUCUAUGGGCUUAAGAGAGAAAGGUGAGUCACCGUAGAAAACCCCAAUAGACCAAGAACCCUCAUUGUCUUCACGACAACCGAAAGAAGAGGAAAGUGCGGUGUGCACUGUAGGCGAAAAAGCGAACCAACCGUAGAGGGUGGCAAUGGAUCCGAACAAAACGAAACACCCAAAGAAGAAAAUGAAACCCGAAGAAAAUAACCGCUUGUAGUAUUGUUGGUUCUCCAAUCUCCACCUACACGAACACUUCACACUCAUAUCACAACAACUCCCGCCGUUAGAACAACCACCACCGUUUCCGCCGCCGCCAAUCUGCCCCGAACCCAUCUCGCCGAAGAAAUGCUCGUUGCCGCCGGAAGAUCUUACACCGCCGUGGCACGUUGCAACUCCGUCACCCGCAUUUCACAAUUCACACAACCCAACCCAGCAAAACAAAUCCCGUUUUUUUUUAAGUCUCUUUCUCUGUGUGAGAGUUUUUUGCUUCUUUUUUCUUUGACGAGGGCAAGGUUGUAAUUUUGGGAAUUGUUGUGCAACUGGACCUUCCUUACCUUGGUGGUCUGCUAUAUAUACCGUUUAUUUCGGCACUUAGUGUUAAAUAGAAAAAUGGGUUUUAAUUGGCUUAUUAAUCCAAUAAUCUGGUCCAACGUUAAUUGCGCGCGUGUGAAGUUGAAUAGUACUCGCUGCCAAUGACGAAUAACGUAACUCUUCAACGCGGAGCAAGCACGGGACAAUAGAUGAGAGAAGAACCGGAGAAGCUAUUUGGGUAUUUCCCCGAAAUUACGCUAUAUGCAAAUCUAAUCUAUAAAAGCUAAAUAAAAGUAAUGGUUAUAAUUCUUUGGCAAAAUUGUUUCUAAAGUUUAUUUUAGAUUAUGUAUUGCAAAUGAUAUAUAUUUAUUGUUGUAUAAUUCAAAUUAAAUUUUUUAGUAAAUGCUAAAUAAUUUAAAUUAUACCAUAAGAUUAUUUUUUAAUUGCUGAUAUUUAAUCAUUAUUGAAAUUUAAUUUAAAAGCAGAGAAAAAGCCUAGCAGGUUAAAAGAGAUAGACAAUUAAAAAAAUCAAAUGCCCAUAAGAAAAUAAAAUAACAGUGCUUUGAGGUAAUUGAAAAGGAAUUUAUUUUGGCUAAUAACAUAAGUAAUGUAUAAAAUCCACAUUCUAAUAAAAGUAAAUAGAUAAUAUGUAUAUGAAAAGAGUCUAAAUAUCAUUUAGUUGAAUAAGAUGUGUGACUGUUGUAAUUUCUCUAUUAUCAUGUUUAAUUUUUGUAAAUAAAAAAAAACAUGUAUGCCAAAAAAAAUAGAUAAUAUGUCUAUUUGAGAGAGAGACCGGAGAAAAUUAAAAUCUCACUCCUUACGUAAUACAGUAUAUACUUAUUUAGAAUAUUAAAAUAGAUUUCGAUUAGAAUGAUUUUAGUUCGCAAGCAUCAAUCUCUUGCUAUAUAAAUUAAAACUUUUAUUUUAUUCUCUAAUUUUAUAUAAAAAUAAUAAUUUUCUAUGUCAUUUUUCAAAAAUAUAAAUUAAAGAAGAGUAAAUAAAAAGUUUAUGGAAUUAAAAAUUAAAAUAAGUGUCACUUUUUUUUUACGGUGAAAUAAGUGUCACUUAUAACUUAUAACUGAAGAAAUUAAAGCAAACCUAAAAAAAAACUAUAGAAAAAACGAGAGAUUUCUCUUUACAAAAGUGCUACCACCUUGAGCAACUCGUGGCCGUCGUAAUUAUAUUGGAGGGCAAUCUAUGGAUAGAUCGUGAAGGUAUAAAGAAGGCAGGGUUUCAAAUUUGAAUAUGCAAACCAGUGAGAGUUUUGGGUCCACUUGCUUUCAUUUUCUACUCGGAUUAGAGGGAGGAGAUACUAAGACUAAGAUGUCAGUAGUAAUACAUUAAUAUUAAUUAUUAUACCGAGAAACCAGAAGGUUUAUACAGGGUGGAUAUGACUAUUACAACAAUCGAUCAAUUACCACGUGUGUAUAGAAGAUUUGCUCCAAUGUCUAGAUAUAUAUAUUCACGCUUAAUUGAACUAAUAGUUGUCUUUGACGGAUCCAAAAAAAAAAACUAAUAGUUGUCUUAUUUGAAUUUUUUGGGGAAUACUAUUUCACUUGACGUAAUAGAAAUAAUCAUUCCUUAAGAGUUAAGAUCCCCUAAUUUUAUUUUAAAAAAUCCCCUAAUUGUUUAUAUAUAUAUAUAUAUAUAUAAAUUGGUCCUUCGUCGUAUCUUAACUCUAUUUAACAACAAAAUUACACUAUUUCCAUUUUUUUCUUUAACUACACUAUUUUCAUUAAACUUAAAAUGCUUAUACUAAUUAAUUUUUUUCAUUAAAUAAAAGCUACACAAAUAAAAUAAAAAACGUAUAAUUUUUUUUCUAUUAGCAUAUAAUAUUUUUAGCAAUGUGUGUAUUUUGGAAUAAUCUAUGUUUUUUUAGUUAUCUCAACAAAUUUAAUUAUCUCAGCGUAUGAUAUAAUUUUUACAAUGUUUUUUAUUAUUUAUGUUCUUGUAUGUCGUAAUUUAUUAAAAUUUAAACCAUUAAAUUUCCUAACCAAUAAUAUGAGAAAGUUUUACUUUUUUUCAUCUAAACUUCAACAUCCGAUUUCCUAUCACCAAAAAAAAAGCAUCCAAUAGGUUUUCUUAUAACUUAGUUAAGUAUGGUGCGGAAGUCUUAUAAAUUUCUUAAUACUUAUAUACAAUUCCUAUCAAUAAAAAAUAUUUAAUUUUAUUCUGAUGAUAUAUAUAUUAUUUGAUUCUCUAUAAUGGUAUUGAAUGGUGGUGCCUACUUAUUCCGGCAGCUGAUUAUGAUUCAGCAAUCGGCCAGCCGAAGAGACUCUGGCUUGCCAAGCUUGACUGCACCCUCUUGUCCUCUCAUAUGGAACCCAAUAAAAAUAAAUAAAUAGCAAUGGCAAAAAGGAAAACCUAACUCUUUGCCCUUUACAAAUAAUAAUAAUAAAUAAAUAAAGGACAUUAUCACCAAAUUAAUGCCUUUUCCUUGUUAUGAUAUGAUGAUAUUCUUGUUUGGACCAACAAGACGGCUCACACAAGCCGGCCGUAAGAAAAUUUAACCUUUGUUGUUUUGUUAAUAUUAAGAAUUUUAUUAUUUUAUUUAUUCUAUCUCUUUAAUCAGUGGGUUGAAACUUAAAAUGAUUGUUUAUAGUUGAAUUUCUUUAAUCAACAAAUAUUAAUUCGUUAGUUAUUAUUUUUUGUUAAUACUAGAUAAUCAAACUCAUGAUUUUUUUUUACGUAAUUGUAUUGUUAUUUUGCAUGGUGUAGUCUGUGAUUGAUUAUGGUGCAUGUGGUAGAACAGUGCAAUUGGAAAGCACCUUUUUAAUCCUGUUCAUGUUUCCGAUUGUUGCAAUGUGAGAAGAGGAACCUUCUCUUGAAUAUGUCUCUCAAAACCCCGACUGAAAUAUAUACCGCGGCGGCGUACUCUUCAGUCUUCACUUCCAUUGGAUUUGCUUCAAACAUCUACCUAUUUACCCUCGUCCAAGUAACCGCAUAUUUUUCACUUGUUAAUAAGAAAAUCAACUAUAUAUUAAUACUAUGUGUGCAUGUAUAACAAAUCAUAUAUCCGUUCACUUUAUCCUUCCUACUUUUGCAAAUAAAACGAGUUUAAUUAUAACAGAAAUUUAAAACUCAUACGUACAUGUAUAAUCAAUAUUGUGGGCUCUUUUAAAUAAUACUUUUAGCUAAGUGAAUAGUGAAGCAAUGAAGUGGCAUAUUCAUUUUUAUUUUUCGAUCUUUUAAAUGUUUUGAAUAAUAGAUAAAAGUGUUAACAUGUGGGGAUCGAGUUGAAAUUGAAUGGGAAAAGAGAGAGAGGAAUUUUUAAAUUGAUAAAAUAAAGUUUAAGAUGAUAUUAAAAUUAUUUUAAUAUGAAUUUUUCUAAUAUCUUUAUUAUUAUUUAAUGAUAUUUUAACUUUUGGUUAAUUAUAUCUAUAAAACUCUUUAUAUGAAAAAAUUAUUCAUCCGUUUGAAUUGUGGUCAACGGUCAACAUUAUAUCUAUAAAACCCUUUGACCAUUUCAUAACCAAGUCUGUAUUUCUUCACGGGAAAGGAAUUGUUACCUUCUGUUUGACUUAGUCAAUCUUGAGCUCCAAACAGUAAUUCAUAUAUUUUCUUAAAAAAUUGAUUCCCAAGUUUUUAUAUUUUUAUCUAAUGUUUAAUUACGACAUUGAAUUAUUUUUUAUUUGAGUAUCUGAACUUUUAUUUUUUACUUGAAUUUUUCUAUCUAAAUAUUGUUACGAAAGAGUUGGUCGACACUUAAUUAGAGAUGCAUAAAUUGAAGUGUAUUGUAAACACAACUCACUUAAUUGUGAUAAUUUUUUUUGCAAAGUUUAGAGACUUAUAAAAUAAUACUUGUGUUGAAUUGACUUGUAUAUAUAGAAAUUAUGUAAAAUUAUUUUGUAAUUGACUUAGUUGUAAAAAUGACAAUGGAAUGAGUUAGGGAUAGAUUUGGCAUUUUUCACCUCAUCCCCACAAAAGGUUAGAUUGUGUGCAGGUAUAAAAUAUACUAAUUUAAAAUUUUAAUACUCGUUCCCAUCCUCGUUGGAUUUUAUUAGGUUCAUGUAUAUCAACGGGUAACCCACUACAUUCUAAUUUUACUUUAUUUAUAUAUUUUAAAAAAAUUAAUAUUAAUUUCUUAAUUAUAUUUUAAUUCAAAUAAUAUAUAAAUAUAAUAAAUGACAAAGAAAUUAAAGUUAAAAAAUUAAUAAUUCAAUUAUAUUUUUAUUUAAAUGUAUAUUUUUAAGUUUGUUAUUUGAUUAUUUAUCUAUUAAUAUAAUUUAUUUAUAUUUUCAAAAAAAUAUAAUAAAAAAAUAUAUAAUAUUAUAUAUAUAUAUAUAUAUAUAUAUAUAUAUAUAUAUAUAUAUAUAUAUAUAUAUAUAUAUAUAUAUAUAUAAAGUAAUAAUGACAAGUAAAUGUACCAAUAUAAUUUGACACACAUUCUCAUCUCAUUUCCGCUUAACAUUUUGGGUAAUACCUAUAUUCAUACUCGGUCAAAAUUAAUAUUUUUCAUUAAAGUUGGAUAGGUUUAGGGUGAUACUCACAAAUAAGAGGUUAUUUGUCAUGUCUACUCAUUUUAGCUUACAACGUCUUUAAAAGCACCACCAAUCCAUUGUAUGUACCUCUAAUUAGAUGUAUGUGAUUAUUUUUUCAUAACAACAAUUAAAUAAGAGGAUCCAAAUAAAAAAAAAAUCAAAAACUUAAUUAAAAAUUUAAUAAAAGCAUAGGACCCAGAAUAAUAAAACUUUUUUAAUACGAAAUUAUUUUUACGGAUAUGUUUUUUUUCAACACAAUUAACAUCCAAAUGUUAUAUUUAGUAUUUAAUUAAUUUAAAUAAAAUCGAAUAAAAAUAUUAAGGACAAAAUUUUCAUCAUCCAAGAAUAUUUAUAAUGUUACGGGGUUAACUUUUUCAAUAAGGUUUUUUUAUAUAAAAAACAUGAUCCAGAUAUUGUACUUAAAGAAAACCAUUCAUAUAAUAUAUCACCUUCAUUACAAUGAUAUGCUUAUGAAAAUCUUAACAUGGUUUUGAAUAAUUAAUGGAAAUAUUACUUUUAUCUCGUAUUAUUUGUCUUUUUAAGAUAGUGUGUACAUUUCAAAAUAAUUAAGAAAAGUAAAAAUUAAAACUAAACUCGGCAAUUAUUGAAAUGGCACUUAUAAUGUUGAUUAACAAUCCAAGAUUGGAUUUCCUUCUCAACAAAUGUGUGGCCUUUGUGAUGUGUUUAAUGUUUUAUUCGUGCUAGAGAAGCUUCGUGGGGGUAGGCUGAUAGCGGCUCUUGGAAAAACCGAAACUUCACGGUGAAAGUAACAGUUUAGUCAAUGGAUGGAUAUGCGAUACUCCAUUAUUAUUCACAAUAACACUAUGUAGAACAUUGUUGAGGCUGUCAGUUUCAAACUUACUUAAUGGCCACUCAUCAUUAUCUUUUAUUUUAGGACAAAUAAUCAUCUUUGUCUUUGAAUGAAUCACUAUAUAAUUUAAUGAUAAAUAUAUUUUUAAAAGAUAAAAAUAUAUAAUUUAGUUGUCGAAAGUAUAAAAAAUAUAAUAAAUAUAUUUGAACAUUAAUUUUCGUCCAUCAUCGUUAAUAAAAUAGUCUAUGUGACAUAUAAGAUGAAUUUAUCACGGAAAUGAUUGUCAAUAUAUCUAUUUCUAAUUGUCAACGUAGAGACAUAUUUAUUCUAUAAUAUUUUAUUAACUUUUCGUCUUCUCACUUUUUGGAAAUAUGAAUGGGUAAAUAAUCACUUUUGUUCUUGAAUGUGUGAUUCGCUAAAAAUUAUGUCUCUAAAAGAUAAAAAUACAAAAUUUAAUCCCUAAAAGUGUAAAAAUUAUGACAAAUAUAUCCGACCGUUAACUUUAAAAUAGCAAAGAUUCGAAUAAGUAAAAUAUGAGAUAUAUUUAUCUUUUAGGGUAAUUUAGAAAAAUUUGUAAUGAUUGUUACGGUGUUUUAUUUCGAUAAACUAGAACAAUGAAACAAUAUUUAUUUUGGAUAAUUUCUAUUGUGACAGAUAAAUUAUGGAUGAUAAUCAAUAUGAUCAUUAUUAUUAUGUUUGUUUUAAAUUAUGUUUGCCAAUAUAUUUUUUUAAAGUGAUUAUUGUAAUGUUAUACUUGAAUGAUACAAAAUAAUGAAAAUUUAUUCUAAAAUUAUAUUUUAUCCUUAAUUUAUUGUAAUGUUAUACUUGAAUGGUACAAAAUAAUGAAAAUUUAUUCUAAAAUUAUAUUUUACCUUUAAAUUAAAUAAAAAUUUUGGAUUUAACAAAUUAGUCCAAUAGAAACAUAAUGAUAUUUAGGUCUAAUAAAAAAUUAUUAACAUUUUCAUCUAAUAAUGAUAACUUAUUAACAUUUUUUGUCCAAUAGAAUGUGCUGACAUUUAGGUCAACAAAAAAUAUUGACAUUUUCUUUCAAUAAAAAAAUAUUAACAUUUUCGUUCAACAAAAAAUUACUGACAUUCACGUCUAAUCUUGAUGUCGUACUGACCUGUAUGUCCAAUCUGGUCCACGCUGUCUCGAAAACAUUCAAAUUUGCGACUUAUGCACUCCGUAGAAUCACGUAUACUAUAUGAUGGACGAUGAUGGACGAAGGUUAACAAGGGAUAUAUUUGUACUACUUUUAACACUUUAAAAAAUUACAUUUCAUAUCUUGAUAUUUCAUGAACAAAUUUGUUAAAGAAAAAAAUAAUUAUCUACCCUUCAUUUUAUAUCCAACUUUUGCAAAUGCAAUGAUAAUCUACCCUUCAUUUUAUAUCCAACUUUCAAUAUAUGUCUCAGUUGUNNNNNNNNNNNNNNNNNNNNNNNNNNNNNNNNNNNNNNNNNNNNNNNNNNNNNNNNNNNNNNNNNNNNNNNNNNNNNNNNNNNNNNNNNNNNNNNNNNNNNNNNNNNNNNNNNNNNNNNNNNNNNNNNNNNNNNNNNNNNNNNNNNNNNNNNNNNNNNNNNNNNNNNNNNNNNNNNNNNNNNNNNNNNNNNNNNNNNNNNNNNNNNNNNNNNNNNNNNNNNNNNNNNNNNNNNNNNNNNNNNNNNNNNNNNNNNNNNNNNNNNNNNNNNNNNNNNNNNNNNNNNNNNNNNNNNNNNNNNNNNNNNNNNNNNNNNNNNNNNNNNNNNNNNNNNNNNNNNNNNNNNNNNNNNNNNNNNNNNNNNNNNNNNNNNNNNNNNNNNNNNNNNNNNNNNNNNNNNNNNNNNNNNNNNNNNNNNNNNNNNNNNNNNNNNNNNNNNNNNNNNNNNNNNNNNNNNNNNNNNNNNNNNNNNNNNNNNNNNNNNNNNNNNNNNNNNNNNNNNNNNNNNNNNNNNNNNNNNNNNNNNNNNNNNNNNNNNNNNNNNNNNNNNNNNNNNNNNNNNNNNNNNNNNNNNNNNNNNNNNNNNNNNNNNNNNNNNNNNNNNNNNNNNNNNNNNNNNNNNNNNNNNNNNNNNNNNNNNNNNNNNNNNNNNNNNNNNNNNNNNNNNNNNNNNNNNNNNNNNNNNNNNNNNNNNNNNNNNNNNNNNNNNNNNNNNNNNNNNNNNNNNNNNNNNNNNNNNNNNNNNNNNNNNNNNNNNNNNNNNNNNNNNNNNNNNNNNNNNNNNNNNNNNNNNNNNNNNNNNNNNNNNNNNNNNNNNNNNNNNNNNNNNNNNNNNNNNNNNNNNNNNNNNNNNNNNNNNNNNNNNNNNNNNNNNNNNNNNNNNNNNNNNNNNNNNNNNNNNNNNNNNNNNNNNNNNNNNNNNNNNNNNNNNNNNNNNNNNNNNNNNNNNNNNNNNNNNNNNNNNNNNNNNNNNNNNNNNNNNNNNNNNNNNNNNNNNNNNNNNNNNNNNNNNNNNNNNNNNNNNNNNNNNNNNNNNNNNNNNNNNNNNNNNNNNNNNNNNNNNNNNNNUUUUAUUAGUGUUAUCUAAACGAGUAUUUUUGGGAAGAAGAAUUCCAUAAGCUAACUUAUGGCAUGUCCUCAGCAAGUGGUUCGCAUAGUUCUCCCUUAGAUUCAUUAUAGCAUGAAGGGUAGUGGGGUAUGGCAUGACGCCGCCAAAGAAAUUAGCAUUGGCUUUGAACGUAAAUAGGGACACAAGUAUCGUUGAGGAGGAGGCUAGCCUUAAAAAAAAAUAAAAAUUGGUGACGGCUGAGAACAGCAUACAUAUAUAUUAGGAUACCUUCCUAGAUCAAACUACAGUAUACAAUAGUACAUGGUCUUUUGUGUACAAUAAAUUUAUAUUUUUAUAUUUUCUGUUAAUUGGACAUUUAUGAAACAUUAAUUGGACAUUUAUGAAACAUCAACCUCUAAUGUCUCUCUUAAAGAUUUACUUUAUGUGAUUGAACACGACAUUUAAGUACAUCAAUUAUUUUUUUUUUCAUUCUCAUAAUUUUAAUUUUUUUUAUUCAAACACAAAAUUUUAAAAAUAAAAGAAUUUAAAUUAAAAUAUUUAAAAUUCCUCGUCCAAACACACUCUUAAUAUUCCAAUUGCUCCUUUAUAGUGAAGUAUAUACCUUGUUUCAUGGCAUAAAAAAAUAUACCUUGUUUCAAGCUCGCUGCUACCAAAAGAUGCCUUGCUAGGAUAAGUGGCAUAAUGCUCGUCCACUUAAUUCUAAUUUGGGUUAUGACAGCGAAUUAAGUAUUAGGCUCAUUACUGGAUAAAAAAAAGUAGAAAGAAUCUUCUAUUGGUCAAUACGAAAAGGAAAUCAGAAACAGUUAUCAUGGAAUUUAUUAUCCACCAGCUACAUGCUUGGGCAUGAUGUUUCUUUUAUGCUUUUCUUGUCAAGAUCACAUAUAUUUUUUAAUUUAUUAUAUUAAAAAUUAAUUUUAUUUAUGAUGUGUGAUUGUUAUUAAUCUAAAAAAAUUUUACAGAUAAAAGAAAUUAAAUAUAAAUUUUUCUCUGUUAAAUAUUUUUUUCCACAUGUAAAUACAAUAUAUUCUUAGACCACUUAUCAAAAUUCUUUUUUUUUAAUUUCUUUUUUGAAAAAAAGGAAAUUCGAGUAAAGAUUUGAUUUGAUUUCAGAAAAAAAAAUUAAAGGAGGACAUAUUAAUUAGUCUUUUAAAAAACUAAAACAAAAAUCACUUUAGUUUUUAAAAAUUAUAAAUGGAAAUGACUAUAUUAAUACAAUAAACGCUUUUCACAUUGAGCAUUUAUAUUGGGUUUUUUUACAACUAAUGUAAUAUGUAAGGCAACCAAUAGUUAAUAUAUAUUGAGAUCAACAUUUUAAAUUUAUCGUAAGAGAAAUCGGUCUAGAAAGUUUUUUUUUGCAUUAAUUGCUUUGCAGCUGAUCCAUCCAGAAUUUAGGAAGAGUAGGGAGUAAACGUAGAUGGUGGUUUUUAUUUGUCGAUGUUUAAAUUAUGGUUAAAAUAUAUAUUUUUUCCUUAAAAUUUAAGUGAUUGUUUUUUUUCUAAAUUUAAAUUUAUUUCUUAAAGUUCUUUAAUUUUUAAAAAUAUUCUUUUUAAUUAUUUUUAACUGAUUUUUGACCGUUUUAAUACAUAACUUGUGAUAAAAUUUUACCACGUAAGAAACGAAAAAGAAAAAAUAAAUAAAUAAAUUUAGGAGAUAGAAAAAGCGUGACCUACAAAAUUUGAGGAGAAAAAACAUAUUUAAAAACUAUAUAUUUAUGUUGCAGCGAAAAAAACUUUCAAUUGAUGACUUUAAUAACUUGGUGCAUUUAUAUCAAGACAGAAUUGCAAGUAAUUUUUUUUUUAUAAAUCCCAAGUUAAUUAUAACCAAUAAAAGUUGAUGGCACACAGAGAUUGGCUUCUCAUUUGUCCAUAUGCUAUGUUUCCAUUUAUCAACGCCCAUGUGUAUCCUAAGGUUCCUACCUGACACACACAAAUCCACAAUCUUGCAAAAGCUGACAUAUAUAGUAGAUGUGCCAAUAUUGUUUUCUUACCUUAAAGAGGCACCCUUAUGGGCAUAAAUUGGGUUCGUUGUAUGUCACAUCAAUAUUGUUUUCUUAAUUAGUUUUUUCUGCUGUGAUUAGGCAGUACUAAUUGUACUAUUGAAUCUCAGUUUACACGUAUGUUUCAAUUAAUUCAUAAUCAGCUUGUGAUUUCACCAUACUUUUAUUUUCCUUUUGAUAUUCACAUCCUAAUCUAUCUAUUUUGGAUUUUUUUUUUCUUCCUCUAUAUCAUGAAUGACAUCAAUUAUACAUCUUUAUUUAAAGAGAGACAAAUUGAGUCUCAAGAAACAUCUUUCACCAUUUUCUGUGGAAAUAAUUGGGGAGUCAACAAAUUGAAAAACAUUAACACUAAGAUUAAAUUCGCAUGUUCAAACGUCAACCACUUUAAUCAUGAUACCCAAAAAUACAAAUGGAAAACAUAGAUUCUGAAAACCUUCUAUUUGCUACUAUAAUGUUUAAAUCAACCCUAGGUAAUAUGUUUUCAAUAUCGAUCAAUUCACAUGUGCUUCAAAUUUUUUUUUAUAUAUAUAUAUAUAUAUAUAUAAAUUUCUAAAAAGAGAGAAAUAACGAUUGAUGCCAUUAUUUUAAACUAUGAUUGUUGUUGUGAUAAUAGAAAUUUUAAACACAAUAAAUAGUAAAAUAAAAUCAUAUAGGGCAAUAUAUAAAAAACGAGGUUAGGUAUAUAUGCUAGCAAGAUUAAUUUGGCUAGCCCUUCACAGGUCAACAAUGUGAUGUAUGAUUGUAUGUCAUAUUUCAGUCAAAGAAGUAAUCACGUCCAAAACAUUUGCUUGGAGGAUCAGACAAGAAAUCACGAUAAGACCAACUAUAUUGUUGUGGCUUGUUAUUCGAUUCAUGGAAAUUUCAAUGUACCUGUACCUUAAAUCAACUUCGAGAAUUAUUUUUAUCUCGUCUUUCGUAAUUCUAAAGUGCUGCCAUUAAAUUGAUUUUUUUGUUGUCUACUUUGUCUUCUUCAUAUUCUUUCUCAUACAACUUUCUGAAUUUGAGUCUAAUUUAAUUUUAAAAAUUAUCUCAUAAAAUAAAAGUUAUCUCAUUUAUAUAUUUUAUCUUAUCAUUAUUUUUACCUCAUGAGAAAUUUGGGUUUUCCCAAUAAAAAUCAAAUAUAUAAAUUUCAUUAUGAGAGCAAUCGCCACCACUCUGUUGUUUAAGUUAUACUUUAUAAGAUUCUAUGCAAAAAUAUGAAGCACAGAUAUGGGUCCUUGACACUGCCAUUUUCCAAUGAAAGACACGGGCAUGUCCAUGUUCAUUUAAAUUUAUUUAUUAAGUUUAAUUAGCAGCGUAUAGAUUAAAAAGAGAAAACUGUAUAAUAGGUAGUCUCAAAAAUUAUUUUAUGGCUUAUUUAUCGUCUAAUUAAGUUACUUUAAAUAUCCUCCCAAUUAUAGAUUAAUUAAUAAUCCUGAAAAUGUUGUACUAUUGGAAAAUUAAGUUUAAUUUUUAUUGUGGUCAUUGUAAAAAAAGUAUUUUACAAGUGAAAUAGGUUAAAUUUAACGAAUGUGCUUUUUUGGCAAGCCCUAAAAUUAAAUUAGAAUGGAAAGAAGCUUUGAUGAUGGAUAUAUAUGUGUCCCCCCUAUGCAUUAAUGUGUUAUGCAUAGGUGGGUCUCAUAUAGGAUGCAACAAAACAAAACAAAACAUAUAUUACUCAAAAAAUCCAACUAAUUAACUUGACUCAAGUUAUGGUGGGACACUCUUACAAGAACUAGACCAGGGACACUAACUUGAAGCGUUGGAACUUUAUUAAUUAGAAGGAGUGGUUAUAUUGAAGACAAAGAAAGAGACGUACACUCACCCUUGGAGAGAUGAAACAGAAGAGGGAGUGCCAUAAUGAUCCAUAGCAUAGGUAAUAGUAGUAGAUUGCAGCCAUGUAUCAUAAUCAUGGACGAGGAAAAUUUAUUAAUUAUGUACCCAUUGGUGAUGAUCAUUGUUAAUUUGUUCUCAUCUAUUAAAAUAAUUCUUCCAUAUAUAAUUAGUCUGUACCAUUAAUUAUAUAUAGAUAUAGAUUAUGGAAUGGAAACAAAUGACAACCACAUUAUUUUUUUAACUAUCAAAUAAUUACUUGAAAGUUGAAACACAAAAUAUCAAAAAUAAAUAACACCGAUAGUGUAAAUUUUAUAUUAUUAUUUAAUCAGAAAUUAUCAUAUAACAAAUUUACUAGUUUUUUUAAUAAAUUCUUUAAAAUUCAUAUUAAUGAUUGGCAAGUUAUUUAAAUUUAUAUAAAAUUUUCUUCAUCUUGGCAGUCAAUAUGUGGUGUAUUAAGCUCAAGGACAAAUUAUUACAUAAAUUCAGUAUAGUUAAUAAGGGGAAGAAUUAAAAAAUAUUAUAUCAUUAUGAAUAUACUAAUAAACAUAAUAAUUUAUAAUAAAAUUAAUGAUGUUUUAUACCAAGAUAAUUAAAAUUAUUGAUGUGUAAUACUUUAUUUGUGCAAGAAUAUACCUAAAUCAUUAUUUUUAGUGUGUAUUAACAAUCGAAGAAUUUUCUUUCUUCAUUGUAGAAAUUAUUGAACUAAAAUUUAUUUCUUUUAACAAAGUCUUUUGCAUAUACACACAAUUAAGAAUAUAGAAUUAUAUCGAUAAACAUUAUUGAGAGAUUGACUAUCAAACUAAAUUAUUAUAAACAUUAAAAUUUAUCCAAAAUAUCUCCUUAUGCGUAGGUCACUUUUGCCUUCACAUUCUUAUCCUAUUUCUAGAUUUUAAGCUUCUGUGCCAACUGCUUUGAAUAUACUACUCAGAUCAGAAGUUGCAAAUAGAACCACCAAUUUUUGAAUCAUCGUAUUCUCAUGGUCAUCGCUCGUUUCUUACCUUAGAAGAGUUGAAGGGCCAAAUUGGAUUGGGUUACCCACUCAAUAAAUAAAUAAAUAAAUAAAUAAAGUCGAGCAUAUAUGAAAAUGAAUUGGGUUAUAUUAAGUUAGGAAAAUUUUCGUUGGUCAAUGCAAACCAAACAUAUGAAAAGAGGUUGAUUUAUUUAGUUGAGUAUAAAUGGAAUACACCCAUAGUAUAAACUGUCAAUCAAUUAUAUAUUAUAUUGCUAAUAUUCUAGCAUGUGUAACGUUUAAGAUAAAGGUUUAUUUUAUAGAACUAAACUUUAUAAUAAAUAAAUACUUUGAAUUUAUAAAUUAUAUUAUAUUUAAAAUUUAUGAUAGAUAAAUAUUCUUGAACAUAUAAAUUCUAUUUUAGAUUUAUGGUAAAUCACUUAUAUUGUGAUAUAAAAUUAUUUUUAAUAAUUGAUAUUUUAAAAAAAUUACUGAAAUUUGAUUUUAAGAAUAAACAUGAAAAAGUGAUUAAAAGAGACAUGAGACCAUGGAUUAAGAAAAUUUGUUAAAAUUAAUAUCGUUGAAGAAAGUUUUCUAAAAAAAUUGCCUUUCAAGAUAACUAUCUAAUUUAUAUAUAUCAUUGAAAAUUAUUAACUUUCAUAAUAAAUAUCUUAAAAAUAAAAUAAAAUAAUGAUUUAACUGGUUGAUGAUAUAAAAUAUUUUUAAAUUAUAAAUUAAAAUCAAAAUUAUAUCAAAAAAACUAAAAUCAAAAUUAAACUCUGUGUUUUUAUGGUUUUGUUCGUGAACUAUCUAUUUGUUACUCAAUUCUAACAAACUUAGUCUUAUAAUUUUUCAUUUGAUUACUUAAACCAUCUCAAAUUAUAUUUUUCUUAUUUAAAUUGGAUCAGUUAUUCAAAUUCAUAUAUAAGUCUAUCAAGUCUUCUAUUAUUUUUCUUAGUCCAGUUGGUACUUAGUUUAACGGUGUGGGUUAGUACAUCUGGUUUUGGUUUAAUAUUUACCCAACGAGAAUAAUUAAGUAGACUUAUAUGUGGCUCUUUACAUCAGACAAAUAUAAAAGUACAGUUUGAUUUUUAUGAAAGGCCAUUCCAAUUUGAUUCUCUUUAGGCUAGGAAUAGGAUCGAUGUUACUUAAUUAAUUUAAAUAAUCAUCAACUAUGCAUGCAAUGCUUCAAAUUCCUAUAUAUCUUAAUAUUAUUUAGCAUGAAUCAAUUGAUAUAAAAUAGUUUUAGUUUAAUUAAUUAUUUUAAGUUCAAAUUUUGACUAUAUAAUUAUAUUAAAUAUACAAAAACAAAAUUUUAUCAUAUAUAAUAGUUUUAUUUAACUCAAACAAUAAUAUUUUUCAAAAAAAAAAUGUUUGUGGAAUAUAUAAAAGAAAAACUCUAACUCUAAAGCCUUUCAUAAUGAACAGUUUGCCUUGCCCACAUACAUAUUUAACAGCUCACUUAAAGUGUUAUAAUUAUUCCUGACAUGCCGUAUGGAUUUUUUCCCUUAUUUUAAUUUUUCAGGAUCUUGUGUCAGAAGAAUAAGAAUAAGAGAAGGCUAAAUUGUAAAUAAAAUAAUCUGGUUUAUGGCUGGAGUUUAAUUGUAAGAUAAAGUAGUCUCUUAAUCUACAUUACGAAAUUACAUCUUUUUCUUUCAAUUUAAAUUGCUAGUGUUUUUUUUUUCUUGAAUUUAUCUUCAUCAUGUUUACUCCAACAAGUAAUGAAUAAAAUAACUUUGCUGAUCAUGUUUUCCUCCUAUUGAACAAUUAUUUGUGAAUGAAAUGAUAUAAGUAAAACAAAAAAAUUAUAUAAAUAUUUGACAAUGUAAUAUAUAUGUCAGUAAAAUUGAAAUUGUUUAUUAUUUGAGACUUAUGUUAUAACUUAGUCCGUAGCUGGUCGGGCGUAGGGGGUGGUUGUUAUUUUUCUGUACCAAAUCGUAACUGUUAACCAACAUUUGACUAAUUAAUCAAAUACUUAGUGCCAAAUACCAAUCAGCUUACAUGUGAAAAGUAACUGCAAAUUCGAAUCGAUUAAGGUUACAUAUGUAAACUUGGUCAAUAUAUUUGUAUUUUAAAAAAUUCAUGUGAAGAUCGUUUUUACUUUAAAGGGUAAACAGGUACAUGAUUUACGAUAGGCUUACAACAGCUGUAGUGAUUUAACUUUAUGUGCUAAUAUAUACGCCAUGGACGCCCUUCUUUAUUUCCCCCAACUGUUGUUGAGUUGUAUAUAUUAUACAUGGUUAAAUAUAUUUUAUCACUUAUACAUUUUUUAUUUUUUAUUUUUUAAUAAAUUUUUAUUUUAUGGUGAAUCUUUAAUAAAAUAAUAAUUUUAUUUUUUUUAUUCUUUUGAUACUUAUUUUUAAUCUUGAUAAAUUAAUAAAUUUUAUUUUUAUUUCAUAAUAAAAAAAAUUAUUUGUUAUUAUUUGAGACUAAAACAAAAUUUAUUGAUUUACGAGGAAGUAAAAUAAAAUAUGAAAAAAAAUAUUACUUUAUUAGAAGCUCAACGCAAAAAAAAAUUAUUAAAAUAAUCAAAAAUUGAUUAUUUUAUUAGGAAUAAAAGAAUAUAUUUAAGUCUAUUAUAUAUAAUAAAAAAACUUAUUUUCUUAUGUUUUGUUAAAAAUAAUGAACAGAUAAUAAUUACUUCAAAUUAAAAAUAUUGUCAUUUUUUCCUUUUUUUUUUUAUAGAUCCUUUUCUUUUUAAACCCGUACAACUAAAUUUGGGUAACAUUGUUUGCAGUAAGAUGAUUAAGAUGAUUAAGGUUACACGAUUUUAAGAAUGCCUUAUAAAUUUCAACUGAUUAGAUUAAUAAUAUAAAUUUAAGAGUCAUAGUGAUACUAUAUCUUAUUCAUACAAACAGGAUUGCCUUUCAUUAGAAAAUAACUCUACUCUAAAAAAAGGAAAAGUGGGAACUAGAAUGCAAACAAACAUAUAAAAUAAAAUCAAAUAUGAAUAAGAAAGGAGGUACAUUUUUUUUAAAAUUAAUUACUCGAGAUUCUUUUAAAGCAAAAUGGGCACUAAGCUGAGGCCAAUUGUUUGCCAUAAUCCUAAUUAGGUUCAUUGGAAGAUCUAGGACCCUAAGUAGGAGAAUAAUUUAUUUAAAAAAUAAAAUUAAUUAUUAUUAUCAUAAAAGAAGUAAAAAAAAAUCCAGGACAAGAAAUUAAAAAAUAUAAAAUUAGAAAGAGCAAAAUAUACAUAUUUAAGAUAUUAUAUGUAUUUUUUUUUAAAGUGACACCCCUCAUUCAAGUUUGGAUCUGCCAUUGAGGUUGGCACCACAACCAGCAAGGCCAAAAUAACAAAAGCAAUUAGUCAAGAUUUUGAUAAAUUGGUUUAUAUGCCUUUUUCUAGAAUAUUUUUUUAAUAAUGAGUCUAUAUAUAUAAAAAAAGAAGUUUAUAUGCUUUUUUUUUCUUUAGUGGGUGAGUAAUUUUAUAUUUUUCACGUUUCAUCCAAUUUGACUUUUUUUUAAUUGUGUAGCAUCAUUCUUUCCAUUACAACAAUGAGUUAGCAAAGGGUCAAUUCCGAUAGACAAAGUCCAAUGUGCGAUUUAAUUCCGUUGGAACAUGAACACAUGCAUUUUGAGAAGAACCGUAGACAUAGUCAUAAUCUAAGCAUCUUAAACUUUGAACAUGAUACACAAUAUCUGUACUAGUUAAUAACCCGAAUAAAUUUUAUUUAUUCUGCUGAUCAUUACUGACAAUGUGACUAAUAAUUUUUGUUAGUUUUGAAACAUGAUUUAUUGUUUUUCCAUUGAAAAUUGGCAUCUGAUUGUUAGAAGAUUGUGGGGAAGGCUUUAUUAAGUGGGCACUACAUCUGCCAAAUAAAUAUUUAUAUUUAUUAGAAGCUUAACUUGAAGGGUUUGACAAACAAGUUGAGUUGAUAAGAACUAGGCCUUUGGAGUUUUGAAUUUUUUGGGUUGGAGACAUAUUUCUACUGUCCUUCUCCCUCUCUCGUUACCAACUUGAUUUUUAAGUAUUCAUGUUAUGAUUGAUUUUGUCUUUGCUACUUAAUUCCAAUUCUAAUGUCAAUUUGUCAAUGUUAAUUUUCAUAUUUUAUUACCCGUGGUUGCCUUAAUGGGCUUCCUACAAGCAACCCCAUGUUUACAAGGAAACAUUUUCUCAUAGGAAAAAGUAAAAAGCAAAAGAAAAAGAAAAAACAACUUAACUUUGUUAUUUUGUUUAAGAAAAUGUAUUUCGCACCUAGUUUUAUCAUUUUCAAUUUACCGAUUUAUAUUAAAUGCCAACAAUAUUUGAAUUCAAAUCUGUGUUGGGUAGUCAUAAAUCAUUUUUAAAUAUUUUUAAUAGAAAGUGUUCAAAUUGGAGUUGGGAAGUGUAAAAGUGAAAAAGAUGAGCCGAACUUUAUUCUGAAACUUCUUGGUUGGAACCCAGUUGGCCAUGCCUAUGGUCCCGUAAACCUUCAAUUUCAUUGUUUUUAUUAUAAUUGGAACUAUUUAAGGCUGUUUUGUAUUUAUGUAACUCUUUGGCUCUUAAGCUGGAAGAUUCAAAGCACUCAUAGUGGUGGGGCUAUGAAAGAAGAAAGGUUAUCUCUUAUUGGAUAAUUUUGGAUAUAUAUUUAAGGACGAAGGAUAUUAAUUAGAGUACUAUAAUGGAAAGGGGAAAAAAAAACAAUACAAAUAACCUUUUUCCUUUUGCAGUAUAAAACACUCCAUAUUCUCCCUCCACCACUACAAAGGAAAAUGAAAAUAUAUAAAAUAUUUCAUUUCACUCUCACAUGUCAGAUGUUACAUUAUGUAUCUCCAUCCAACGUAUUAGUCACCCAAUUAAAUUAAGUAAAAGUGUUUUAGGAGAACCGUAUAUAUUGAAAUAUUUAAUUGACAUUUGUGGCUAUGAUGUCUCGUGCCAGAUAGCCAGAUACGUAGAGCUGGUUCUGGUAAAGCAUAAGUUGGCAUGUUAGUCAUUUAUCAUUUAUCUAUUUGUCUUUCUAUAAGUUUAAUAAUAAUAAUAUAAUCUUUUCUCAUUACUGGGUUGUCCUCAUUUUAUAACUAAGAUUCCAGACUGUAUGGACAUUGGGUCUUAAAUCUUAAGUUACAUUGACCAAACCAAACAAUUUUGAGCACUACAAGGAGCCAUAUCAAGCAUUUUGAAUGUAUAUCUUUACCCUGUGCAUAGAAUAUUUCAUUUUUGCGCUUAAAAAUAUAUUUUUUAAACAAAAUGAUUUAUAAAUCCUUAAAUGAAUAUGUCAUCAAGGAUUCUGUCUAAAGUCUCCCACACAGUGUCACAGUGACAAAUUGUAGUUCAAAAUUUUGUUUGAAGAAUUGAUCACAUUCAAAACAAAAUUGUAUUCUAUGGAAGAUACUAAUGAAAAACUAAAAACAUAUCCUUAAAGAAUAUAAAAUUUGAAAACAAUAAAAUAUUAAACAUAAUUUUUUUUUCAAAUAAAUUUAAUUAUCAAAUUAACCCAAUUUUCAUAAUUGUAAAACUUUUUUUAUUCAUCUUUUAAAAAAAUUGGGUGUCCCAAGGUGAAGGCCAGUUGAGGCUUUUCAAAACCCAUUCGCAAUUGGGCCGUAUUCUAGAUAGAAGGCUGUUGCUAUGCGCAUCAUGCAAAUUGCUGGUAUAUCCAGCAUAACUUGCGCAAUUCUCAUUUUGCCCUUCCAUAAAAUUGAUACAAAUUGGGCAAUUCGUAAGCCUCAUACAGAUGUCCAAACGAUUUUUAAAUAUUUUUUUUCAAAAAUAUGUUUUACGAAUUAAUUUAAAAUUAAUGGCCCAUGCAGGAAUCCAACCUGUGACUUUCUCGUUAUUAACACGACGCUCUAAUCAACUAAAUUAAUAGACCAAUUAUAUUAUAAAAUAAUUAAUAUCACUAUAUGUAACACUAAAAUUUUUAAUGUGUAUUUAAUGCACAUGUAAAUUUAGAUAAUAAAUUUUGUGACAUUUAAUUUUGAUAUAAUAAUUAAUUUGUUUAAAUAUAUAAAUUGUAAAUAAAAAUCAUAAGUUUAUUAACAUAAAUCUACUAAUGUAUUUUUUGAACUUAUUACAAUUAAUCUUGAUCUAAUAAUGUAUUUUUUUACAUAUAUAAAUUUAAAAUAAAAAUCAUAGGUUUCAUAAAAAUUCAUAUAUGUAAAUAUAUUAAUUAUUAUAUCAAAAUUAAUUGUCAGAAAAUUUAUUAUCUAAAUUUACAUGCUCAUUAAAUAUAUAUUAAAUAAUUUUAAAUUAAUUCAUAAAACAUAUUUUUGAAUAAAAUAAAAAAUCAUUUGGGCUACUUACGGAUUUCCAAUCCAUAUCAAUUUUAUGGAAUGAUAAAAUUAAAAUUAUACAAGUUAUGCUGAGUGUAUAAAAUGGGAAUUACGCAACAAUUUGCAUGGUGCGCGUAGCAAUAUCCUAGGUAAAAUUGUCGGAUUUGAAAUAAUGAAGCCCAAGUUGAAUUUGUAGUUUUUCUUGAAAUCUAAUUAAAAUUCAAGUGAAAUCCAAUUAAAAGCAGAAGAAAAAUCAUUCAUUGAAAAACUCUUAAAAGUAACUAAUCAUAAUUUAACUUUUUCCCUUUUUAUUGACUUGCCCACCAUCAGUAAUUCAAUUGAAUUCAUUUUGCAAAUUUAGAAUUUUACAAUCAAUUAAAAGAAUUACACAAGCAAUUAAACAAAGAAAAACAAGGAAUUGAUGUAGACUUCCAAAAUUUGGAUUCAAUCUACAUUUUCCUUUGAUAAAGUCAAUCGAAAUGAAACAAGAAGCCGUCUGGAAAUUAUCAACACAAUUGCACUCGUUAUUGUCAAGGAUAAAAUGGAUGUAUCUCAAUAGCAUAGAAAUCAACAAGUAUGACAAAAUAAAUAAAAAAAUGGAACUGUUUUGAUUACAAAUAAAAAUGCCUUGUGUAGAGCCUGAAAAGCACAAACCAAGAAUGAGGACAUGCACUAAAAAAAACUAGGUAUGUGAAACUUACCUUAUUAAAUUAUAAAAAUUUGAUAAAAUUAAUUGUUAAGUAGUUAAAAAUAAAAAAAUGACUAAAAAAAUAAUAAAAUUAUAAUUUAUUUUUAAAAAUAAACAAAAAAUUUGAUAAAUAUUUUAAAGAUAAAAAAUAUGAAAAAUUAGAAACUAUUUAAAAAACAUUAUUUUAGGUAAGGUGUCAAAACAUCAUUACUUUAAAUAAUAUUUUAAAAAACACUAAAAAUUAAUUAUAAAAAAACUUAUUAACCAAACAGUUAUAUAAAUUUUUCAACCAAUAAAAAAAAGUAAAAACUAACUAAAAUAACUACCCAACUUAACCAAACCAAAGUUAGAAAAGACAUAAUACAACUACUAUUUGCGAUAACAAGUUUUACAGGUCCGAAUACACAUAAAACAAUUUUAUAAACACAAGCGCAUCCAUCUUGAGCAUAAAAAAAGAAGUAUUAUCCAUGUUUUAUAUAUUCCAUCUGCAUUAGAAUUAAUCAUGUUGUUCAAAUUCUAUUUCUGAUGAUGACACCCACAUCGUGACUAGACAAGAAAAAGAAUCUACAAGGGUUAGGAAACUGCAACACCAUAGAAUACAAGAAUGUUGCUCCCUGUCGCGCACAAACACACACAACAUUGAUGUAUUCAAAUAUUAGAUUAUCGAAUCAGUUUCUAGCAUUCAGAUCGGAUCAUAAAAACAGUUCAAGCUUUUUGUAAUAAUACGCAUGAAGCUUGAGGUGAAAAUCGGCAAUUGAAAUUAACGCGCCUGAACAAGCGUCUCGAUAAUGGAAUUUUUGUGUUUGUAAAAUAUGAGUUGAAGAUAUUUAUUGUUGGCCCAGACUUAGUUAGUUUGUUGGGUUGGUGAAUCUGGGCUUCACCUUUGGGAAUUUCUUCCUGCACCCUGAAAUUUCUUGUACACCCAACACUUUUUUGAAAUAUUUCAAAAUUAUCUCUUUUUGAAAUAUUCCAAAACAUACAGAUUGACAAUCCGUAUGAUUGUUACAGAAUCCUUAAGAAUCAUAUGAAUUGUCAAUCCGUAUGAAUCACACAGAUUAUCAAUUCAUAUGAUUCUUAAGGAUCAUGAAUCCGUAAUGGUCUUACAGAUUACAAAUUUGCAAUGGCCCUACCUUUCCCACCCAUCGCGGGCCUCUUCUUGCAGCUCAUGGACUGUUAUGCCAACUCCACCAUACCGAAGCAUUGCCACCUCCUUGCCAUCGCCAUUGCCACUGCCCUUCGCUCCAACGUUGCCAUAGAGCACCUCCCCCUCACGCGGCUCGCAUACUUUGUCGCUACCAUCUCUACCCUCAACGACUCUGAGCUGGGGCUGGACCUCAUGGUGCUCUCCACCCUCGUGUCCUUCAUGGCCAUCGCCCUCCCUUUGGUCUCGCCUCGCCGAAGUUGUGUGAGGCUGCUGAGAUCCUCGUGACGACACUGACUAGGGAGGGGGAGGGAGUGGGCAUGGCAUGUGUGAGGUCACCACGAGCUUCUUGCCAUCGCCACUGCCCUUCGCUUCAACCUUGCCGUGGAGUGCCUCCCCCUUACGCCGCCCGUGUACUUUGUUGCCGCCAACCUUGCCGUGGAGGUUCAUGGGCUUACCGAUUGCGAAUCCAUAAUGUCCUUAUAGAUUAUGAAUCCAUAAUGGCCUUAUGGAUGGACAAUCCAUAUAGGUUAUACAUAAGGGUGUUUUUGGUUUUUCACUCUUGGGUGUAUAAGAAUUUUGCUGGGUGCAGGAAGAAAGUCGCUUAACUUUUUAUAGGUGAGCUAGUGGGAUCUAUUGCUUCUUGCACUCUUUCCUAAAUGUUUUUUAAACCUUCAGGAAGGUAAAAAGAAAGUGUAGGAAGCAAUAGCUGCUAGUGGGCCUAUUGGCAAUUUGGGUUCUACAGUACAAAUUUCAACGCUGAAGGAAUGUGAAACUCUUAUCCUUCAUUCAUUGCUUUUCUGUUGAAUAAAAAUAAUAAUAAAAUUAGGUGUUUGAUGAUUCAUAUUUGAAUGGUUAAUAUUUAAUUAGGAAGAAAUACCUUAUCAAUGAACUGAUUACUGGAUCCUCUGGUUUGUCUGGGAUUUAGUAAUUGAAUAUCUAAUGAGGUUAGUAAAGUGAACCUACACUCUUUAAUAGAAUUUUUUGUGUGGCACAAAUCUAAUAAUUCACUUUUAAACACAACCAAUGAGAAUUUUACGGUGUGAAUGAGGGUCUAACUUAAUUAAUUGAAUAAGGUGUGUGAGUUAUUAUAAUUUUUUUAUAUUAUUUUUUAUUUCUAUCGAUAAAAAAAUGAGAAUUUUACAGCUAAUAAAUUAAAAAAAAAAUCUAACAUUUUUUUAAAAAAUUCCGUUCAUACAAAUCAGCAAACCAUCCACAAUUAAAAUUUAUAUCUGUUUAGACAGUAAAGUGAAUCUAUCUACACUCGUUAAUUAUUCAAUAGAUAAUUUGAUUCUAACAAAAAAAAAAAAAAAAGUACACGGAAAACUUCAUUCCUGCAAAUCAGCAAACCUACAUCUUAUAUUGUUCAUCUUGAAAUAGAAAUAUUCUUAGAGAGGAUGAUCCAUGUAUUACAGUAUUAGAUGAAUGACUAGUUGGGUCAAUUUAGUUAUUUUCCUAGCAAAAGGAAAGGUUUGUGAUAGUUUUAUACCCGCGCGACAGUGAAAACAUAUUCUUAUCUCUUCUAGAAAUCUGUUGAAGCUCUGGAAAGUGGAAAGUGUUUUGGAGAAUAACAACAGAUACAAAGCAAAAGAGUAAGGCCUCUCGGUUCCUAUUAAGAUUCAGACUUUUAAUUUGUUCCUUCUCUCUCUCUCUCUCUCUCUCUGCAUGUUAGGAAUUAGUAAAUUAGGAUGCUUAAGUACUGAGUGGACAUUCUGUUAAGAAAUCUCUGGCUAUGAUGUUGGAGUAGAAACAUGUUCUCUCUACCUCGAAAAAAGAAAGAAAGAAACAUGUUCUAUGUAAUAAAGAAAUACAAAACUUUGGGCACAAGGGGUGCAGUGGCGUGAAUGCACUGGAGCUACAAUGGGCUUGUGAACAAAGCAAACUAACAAACGGGGCACGAUGCAACUUUGGGCCUAAGAAAAAUAAUUAAGGAUUUUGGGUUUAGGGUUAGCUUACAGAUUUAGCCCACCAAGUCUGCAGGUUUCACAGACCAAGCCUAAUUUGUCUAUAGUUAUGCUGAAUUUAGAAAAUUAAAUCUAUUAUCCACUAGUUCCUUGAACUUAGCAAACCCAUUCGCAGACCUUGGUUCCUAUACCUAUCCGCACUCGUACUCAUGAAUAAAUGUGUUCAUAUACCAUGAUUAAAAAAACUAUUAGUAAUGUUAUGUGGAACAUAAUAUAUAUCCUAAAUAAGAAUAACGACCGUGGAGUAAUACUGAUAAUAUAUAUUCUAAAUAAAUAAUCUUUAAAAUUAAUAGUAAUAAUAAUAAUAAGUAUAAUUUUAAUUAUUUUAAUGAAGCAAAGUGAAAAAACAACUUAUUAAAAUGAAUUUUUAAUAAAUGUCUUAUUUUGAGGAGAGAAAAACAGCUAAAUUUGAGCUAUGUAGUUUGUAAAUUAGUUCAUAAUAAUUCACUGGGCAUGCUCUUGUAUUAUUCGGAGUCCACUCCACGAUUGAGACUUAUGAAAUACCUGUUUGGUCAAUUGAACUUUGAGGCUUGAUACUUGAUAGAUACCCUAACCCUACCAUUUGCAAAUGAUUGACUAAUGUUCAUCACUGCCUGGUGGUGAGGUGAGUGGAGAACAUGGAUUUAUAAUUUUAUAUGAUGAUUUAAAGCAUUGAGUGGGUGUCACUGGCCCAACAUAUUUGGUAGUCUUUUCAUUACUUGAUGCCUUGAUGGAGUGUUUUUAAUUAUGAAUUAUAUCUAUAUUUAGUAUCCAAUAUUUUUUUUAGUAAAUUACACAAACACUUGUUAUUUUUUUUAAUUGUUACUGUAACCUCGGUUUUAGGGAGUGUUAGUAUGAUAUAUAAUGAGGUAUCAUUGAAAUGUUUUCAAACAUAUGUUUAAUAUAAGUAUAGAAAAGAAAUAAUAGUGUUAUGUGUAAAUUAAAAAAGUUUACGAGGUGCGAGUAUUAUUUGCUUUUUUUAAUGAAAUUGAAAUGUUAAUAUUUAUUGAUCAUAUUCUAUUUAUCUAUAUGAUAAAUGAGUGAAUGUACAUGGAUGAAGAUGAAGCACUUUAAAGAAAGAAAAAAAAAACGAAAAUCAACGCAUAGAUGCAAGUGAAGCCAUGAUCGUAAUAGACAAAAAAAUUAGGUGGCCCAUGACAGACCUUCAUCAGCCCGGAUUUUCGGACAAAUAACGCCUUCUUAGGCCCUAUCAAGUGAAUUAUUGAGUUAUAUAUGGACGAAAAUCACGGCCAAUUGGCAGAUCUAUUAAUAAUGUGAGAAAUUUUUAUAUUAACUAUCGGAUUAAAAUUAAUUAGUGUUAAGAUCCAUUUUGGAAACAGUUACUUACAAAUUGUAUUUAGGAAAAAAUUGAUUAGAGAUCAAAUUUUAACUAAUCCCACACAACGGCGAUUGGUAUGUAUCUCUUCGUUAUGUUUGUACGUGUAUAUUUCGUACCAAAUAGCAGAGGUUAAAAUAAUUAAAGACAUAUAGAAAAAGGAAAAAAAUAUUUAAAAUAUCUUAUAAGUUUAAAAUCACGGGUAAAAAUUAAAUUGUUAAAACAACAUUUAAAUCGUAGUGGUAAGAUUAUGUGCUAUAAUUAAAUUAAAUUAAAUUAUUUUUUUAGUGGUUUAUUGCGAACAAUAUCAGUUAUAUAUAUAAUAAAAGAAAUUAUUGAAGGUGAUGAGAGGGUCUGAGGGUGGAUAAUCACUCGUCAAAAGUUUAUCUCGUAGGAUUAAAUUAAUAGGAAUUGUAAUGUACAAUUAAAUUGAUAUUUUUUUGUUCAUUCUAUUGCAUAUGUAAUUUGUUUAUUAUGAUCAUUGUGCGAAACAGAUCUUUUCGGAACGAUAAAAUGGUUCUAUAAUUUUUUUAUUAAAUAUAUUCUGAGAAAUUUAUCCAUUAUUUAUCCUAAUCAGGUUUUAAUAGUAAUAUUUGUAAAAACACAUGAAUUAUGGUUGUUACUAGUUUAAUUGAAAAAUUAUCUGUGAUUCCGUAUUAUGUUGACUAUAUAUUUUUAUUAUUCGAAUUUAUUUAACAUUACGUUAAGAAUUUUAAAUCAAUCUCACCAGAGGACAAUUUACUAGAUUAAUCUCCAUGGUGCAUGCAUGUGGGCGAGUUUCAUAUUUUAUGUAAUUCCCAUGCAAGUUCAACAGAUGAAUGAAAAAGUAAGAUGCAAAUUCGUUGGAACCCACGUUUGAAGCCUCUCCAACGGAUUCCCAAAUCUAAUUUCUUAAGGGCAAACUUUCAUUGUAUUAGUUUUUUUAGAGUUUAUUGAAUUGAAUUAAAUUAUAUAAGUAUUACACCCUUCAUUUCAAAAUAAAAAUCAUUUUUGGUUGUUUUACACAUAAAAAAUAAUAAUAAAUAGGUGAAAGUAUUGAAUAUCAAUUUUAUAAAAUUAACCUUAUAAUAUCAUUAAAUUAUUUUUAAAUUUUUUAGUUCAUCAUUAAUAUAUUAUUAUUAAGAUAAUAAUUAUAUUGAGAAAAAAAAUAAUAUUAUACGACAUUAUCUUUUAAUUGUUUUUUUUCUUUGUGCGCAAAUAAAAAUAUAUAUAUUAAAAACGGUGCCAGAGGUACCAAAAAUACCAAGUAAGUGAUCAAUAAGUUAGAUACUAUUUCAUCCCAACGUUAUCUUUUAAUUGUUAAUUAUCUUUGACAUGAAGAACCCUCAUUUGAAUGAUAAUUUUUUUGACUGCACGUAAACAUUUCUAUUCAGAUUCUUAUGGAGUCUAUAAAAAAAAUACAUAUGGAAUCACCGAGUAUAAGGGAGAAAUUAAAGUACAAACGCAAACAUUCAUAUUUUUUUAACUGCACGUAAACAUUUCUAAUAAACGGAAUAAAGCAAGAAAAUCUUCAAGGAUCUUUGUUCACAUGCAUGAUUCAAAAAUAGUUUAAAAUAAUUAUCCUCAUUAAUAACAAUUAUAUAAUUAAUGAGUUCAAACUAGCUUAGAUAAAAAAAAAGUUAUAUAAUAAGUCUUUAAGUAUUAAAAAAGUGUUUAGUCAAAAAUGUGUAGCUUACCGUGUCCCGUCCUCCCUUCCUUUUCAGCCAUGCCAUAUAGUAUGAACCGUUUUCAUACGAAUUUCAAAUCAAUCAAUAGUUUAUAUUUUAAAUUAAGAGAUCUCUUAAUCUGAAAUAGUUAUCUAAUUUAAAAAUUUAUUUACCAAACAUGACAUACGAGACGUUAAGACACUUGUAAGGAGAUCCAAACAUUAUUUACAUUGAUAAUAUGUAUUGAAUAAGUGUCCAACACGUACCAAAAUUAAAAAUUAUAAUAAGAAAAGCAGAAUGAAAGUCCAAAAGUCUAGAAUAUACACAUUAAAAAACAAAGAUAAGAGGUCAUAACUAUAAGAUGGUAGUUAGACUUGUACUUAAAACAAACAAAUAAAGAGUAGAGGACACACAAAUGGUAGUUAAGAGGUAACAACGCGAUUUCAAAUAUAUAAAAAUACAUACAUUAAUUCAUAAACUCCACAUAUCAUUGAUUUCGUACCGUCAUUAUCCUCUACUCAAAUACUAUUUCAACUCUAAUACUUUGUCUGAGUUUUUAAAAGAUAUUAAAAUUAAUCAAAUGACGAAUGGUCAUUUUGUCUAAUCUAUUUUCAUAUCAUAAAUUAAAGGGGGAACUUCUCAUUCUUUCUUAUUUUUCGAUUAAAUAUUUUUACUAUUUCAUAUUUUCAAUUAAAUCAUAAAUGUACGCAUCACGCACCAUUUUUAUUUUUCGCAACUAGCACAGAAGAAAAACUCUCAACUAUUUCAGACAAUUUUUAUUUAUCUUUAUUUAUAUAUUUGAUCUUUUUAAUUGUUUAUCAUCUAUAUUUUUAUCUUUGAAUUGAAUUUCAUUAAUUAUUUUUAAAAAAACAUCAAUAGUUAAAAAAACCUGAUAUCAUAAGAGAGAAAAAAAAUUUACGUUGAAAAUGUAAACAAGUUUAUACAAUCACCCAACACAAGCCAGUAAACAAGUUUAUACAAUCACCCAACACAAGCCAUGUUUAAUUUAUUGAUUUUUAAAAUAAUUAUCUUAAAAUAAUUUAAAUAAUAAUUUAUGAUUGAAUAGCAAUGUAAAACUAUUUUAUAUCAUCAAUACAUAAACAUUUAACUAUUACAUAAUUUAAAUUAUUUCUUCUCUGUAUCAAUUAGAAUAAUUAUAUUGAACAAUAACAUUUUAAAUUUUAAAUAAUUAUCCUGUACCGAGAAUGAUUUUAAGAAUUUUUCUUUCAACAGGAGCAUUUAAUUCUAGGGAUUUUUUUCUUACAUCUUAUAUCUUUCAAUCUAUCAUUGCAUCUUUAUUUUUAAAUUGAAUUUCAGUAUUAUUAAAAAAUAUCAAUAUUUUAAAAAAAUUGUAUCACAUUGUAAAGUGUUUGUCAUAAAUUUAAAAUAUAAUUUAAAUGUUCAAAAUAUUUAUAUAUUAUAAUUAUUAAUGAUUAAUAUAAUUUAUAUUUUCAAAAUUAUUUAUUUGUUGUCAAUUUGAGUUCUUCCUCUCUCUAUAAAUUAUAAAAGCUACAUAAUUUGAACGAGUUGUAAUACUUUAUGGUGUAUUUGAUAUAGAGGAGAGAAAUAAUAUUGAAGAUAAAUUUUGUAUUUUUUUAAGACCUACACUUUUUACAAUCUAUUUUAAUUCAAAAAAUAAUUCUUCUAUUUUCAUCAUCUUUAUUAUUAUUCUCUAAACUAAACACACACAAUCAAGAACGUUUUUAGAUUCUUUUUUUUGUACGAGUGUUUUUAAGGAUUUUUUUUCUCAACAUUGUAUCUCUUAUAAUUUAUCAUUAUUAAUAUCCUUAGUUGUAACGUAAAAUUUUAAUAUAUUUUUUUUAAAAAUUAUCAAUAAUUAUAAAUAAUAUUGUAUCAUAAAAUAAAUUAUUUAUCAUAAAUAUAGAAUACUUUAUAUGUUUAAAAGUAUUUAUUUAUUAAAAAUUUUAACAAUAGUAUAACUUAUAUAUUUAAAGUAUUUAUUAUAAUUUUUAAAUGUAAAAAUAAACAUUUAUUCUGUAUAAUGAACAAACUAAAAUAAUAGUGUAUAAUAAACAUUUUUCUUGUACAUUUCACAGACUAAAGUAUUAGUUUAAAUAUAAAACAAACUACUAUGAGUUUUUAUAUAUCCUUUUUUGUAUUUUUACUCAAAAUCAUUUUUCACAUAACAUGGCCAAAAACAAAAAUUAUUCCAAAGUCAUUUCACAUAACAUGGCCAAAAACAUAAAUUAUUCCAAAGUCAUUUUCACAUAACAUGUCCAAAAACAUAAAUUAUUUAACAUAAUAAUCUAUAUCAAUAAUUGAACACAAAAAUAAUAUUUAAAAACAAUCGAAUUUAAAUACAUAGAUAAUAAUUAUAUAUAUAUAUAUAUAUAUAUAUAUAUAUAUAUAUAUAUAUAUAUAUAUAUUAAUUUUACCAUGACUAUAUCUAAAAUUAGUUAUAAAAAUAAUAUUUAAAAAAAUCAUCUAGUUCACAUACAAUGCUUGUUUAUUAUAAACACUUAGUUAUAUAAAAAUCUUGUACAUUUUUUGAAGUUCAGAUACUGGUUUAUUGUAAAUCUAAAAUACAAUUUAUAUAUUUAAAUUAAGAUACUUAUCUACAGAGACGGGGCCUGAGAGGGUUUGGCCCGACUUUUACUUUUUUCUAAUUUUAACUUUUUUAGUAUAGAAGAUAUUUUAAUAUUAGGUUAAUUUUACAUUUUUAAGGAUCUGAUUUUGGAGAUUUUUUUAGUUAUAUCAUGAUAUGAGUGUUAAUUGUUAAGUAAUUUUUAGUUUUAUAGAUGAUUAAUAUCCUUCAAAAAUUAUAUUUAAAGAAUUCAAAGUUAGUUUUACUCGAAUCAGCAGUAUGUUGUUAUUUGAUUAUGAAUAUAACAGUAGUUAUUUGUUAUUUUUUUUCUUAACAAUAUGUUAUUCUAUUCUUAUAGUUCUCAUAUAUAAAGAUAAUGACGUUUUUAAGAUAAAUAUUUUAUUUCGUUUUUUACAAACUUCAUUGGGAUAUUGUUUUAUUUUAUAUUUUUUUGCUUCUUAAGCAAAAUAUUUGAGUAAGUUUAGAGUCUUUUUAAAAAGAAAAAUAGAGACUAAGGAAUGAUUUAUUUUUUAAAUAAUGAAAAAUAAACAUCAUUCUACUUAAUUAUAACAAUUAAAAAUACAUUUAACCCUAAAAUUAAUAACGAAUUCCCAUUGUCUAAUACUGCUAAAAAUCUAGAAUUAAGAAGGAGAAGAAAGAAGAGGGAAAAAAAUGAGAUGGAACAGAUUCAUCAGUAUUCAGGUGGCACUCUACAUACACAUCUACCAGCUCAAAAAAGGGUGGAUCCUUGCAUAAAAUGACAUACAUGGCACAAAGGUAUCGGAAAAGUAGCUCUCAUUCUUAAUUAUUAUUUGUACUGGGGAGUAUGUUAAAAUCCGGAUCACGUGUGUAUUUCAAAAGAGAAAUUAACAAAAACAACAUAGUUCUUUUUUAUUGGAUACAUCAACAUUUCGUUACAUAUUUAACAACCACAUGAAAUAUGUGAAACUUAAAAAAAUUAAAAUUAAAAAAUAAUGAUAAUUGAGUGAUAAAAUGUGAAAUUAAAUUAAUAUUUUUUAUAUGCAUGGAAGAUAGAAGAUAAAUGAAAAAAAAAUACGAUUAUAUUAUAAGAUGAAUUAUUAUAAGGAAGAGAGAGAUAUAAAAAAAUAUAUUAAAUAAUUAAAAAUAUUGAUGCGAUUUUGAUAUUUAAGAGUGUCUAAAACUCUAAAAAUCAUUAUUGUUCAUAUUUAGAUUUAUUUGACAAGAUUAUAACUCUCGCUAGUAUAACACUUCGAGUAGUGGAGGCUAGGUACAAGUGUAUAACCGCGUGAGUGCUAUAUUUGUCACUUGAUUUUAUAAAUAUUUAAUUAAUUAUCUCAUGCAAAAAAAAAAAAACAUAAUUUUAACGUGAAAACUGGAAAUUUUACCGUUUUAUUCUAUUUUGAUAAUCCACAAAGAGAGCCUCGACUCUAUAUAAGGAGGAGAACAAGAGAGCAGGUGGCAUGAAUCCUUUGGGGUCUUGCUAUCUGCUUCCUCGUAGUACUUCAUUGAGAGAGGCAAGUUCUUAAGCCUUAGCUCUGCUCUUCUCUCUCAACUAGCUAGUUUCAGUUACUUUUUCCUUAGCCUUUUUUUUUCACAUGAACGAAACAUGUUGAUAUUUUUGGUAUUUCUUUACAUAUACUUUGGAUUUGUAAAAAUCAUGCUUUUGCCAUCAGAGAAAAAAACCUCGACUUAUACGCUCAACACACCACCGGCAAAAUAAACAUGCCCAAACUGUGCCACUCAUCCUAAAAGAAUGAAUUAAUAGUCACUUCAAAUGGAAAAAGACCCAUAUGUUGUAAAAAUGGUGCUCUUAUUUCUCCACUAUUUUUUUCCCAUGUAAUUAACACAAUAUGCCUUAAUUAUAAGGCCUCAUCAUGCUCUAACUUCUUACCCGUUUUUUGGUAUAUGCUUUUAGAUUUGUGAAAAUCAUGCAUGUUGCUAAUAUCUCAAAACACACAAUUUGCAACCACAAAAAUAAGAACAUGAUUCACUUUUAAAAGGACACAGUAAAUAUAUAUGCUGUCCAAAACGUGCAAAGUGCAAUUAUUUCUCCACAUUUUUGUGUUCAUGUAAUAUAAUUAACACAAUAUAUUCGAAAGGGUCUAUAUGCUAGCUCUGACAUUUAACACAAUUUUUUCUUGUCUCUCACCCCAGACAUGGACACUGUACUAAGUACUACGCUGCUACUCAUGUUGGCAUGCUCCAUCGUGCAUGUUCUUCGUUCACUACAAGCAAGAAUGAGAAGAAAAUCAAACUACAAUCUUCCACCAGGACCCUCUCUUCUCACCAUCAUUAGAAACUCUAAACAACUCUAUAAAAAGCCACAGCAGACAAUGGCCAAGCUUGCCAAAACCUAUGGCCCCAUAAUGCGUUUCACCAUAGGCCAAUCAACCACCAUAGUAAUCUCCUCAAUAGAAGCCACCCAAGAGGUUCUCCAAACCCAUGACUCAUUAUUCUCGGACAGAACAAACCCCGACAUCACAACCUCGUACAACCACAACCGUUACAGCUUGGUUUUUCUCCCUGUCU